rnacentral:lncRNA from 1 species
AGCUAGCUUGCUUCAAAUCUUAAGUAAUGGCGCUAACAAAAGUUGCUCUCUUCCUUGCCCUCAACAUUGGUCUCAUUGCUAUUGUGCAUGGUAACCCUCCAAUGGUUCUUGCACCACCUUUGGUGCCUACCCCACCUGUUGCACCGGCGCCGUCGAUUGGUGGUUCCUGCCCAAUCAACCCACUAAAGAUAACUGUGUGCAGCAAUGUGUUGUUGCUACUCAAGCUCCGGAUCAAUGUGCCGGAGACCGAGCAAUGUUGCCCACUGCUUAGUGGGUUGGCUGAUCUAGAUGCCGCAGUCUGUGUUUGCACUGCCAUCAAGGCCAACCUCCUUGGCCUCAUCCCCGUCGACAUUCCCGUCGACCUGACCCUCCUACUCAACCAUUGUAACAAGACAUAUCCCUCUACUUUCACCUGCUCACCAUGAGCCAUGAUCAACUAUACCUCUCCAAAGCAUACUCAUAAUUGCCAUGCAUGUGAGGCAUACCCAUCUAUGCCAGCUCAUUAAUAAAUUUAUGUUUAGAUUCUAUAUUUAGAUUUCGAGUUAUGUUUGUGUGUUUGACAUAAGUGUAUCAUGCAUGUUAUGUAAUCAAAAUUAUCAAGAUGGAGCUUGUCUCAUUGAAGAUAUUCCCUACAACAUAUGAGAUCAUUAUAAAUAAUUCAAAACGUCAUCGCAGUUGAUUGUUUGAACCAUCUAUCUAUAUACGACAUAUUUAUGAAUUUUUACAACUGGUUCUAUAGUCUAUGGAAACAUCUAUGACAUUUGGAUCUUACUAUGAACCAUAUGUUGGCAGUUAUUUAUCAUCGAUGGUUUAAGAGAUUUCUUUGUUCGGUUAGAUGUGUUGAUUAUGUUCAUGUGGGGUCCAAACUCUAUAAACUAGAUGAUGUCCUGCAUGUUGCUACGCGAUUUUGUUGUCGCGAAGAUGAUAACAAUUGAAUUCAGUUAUCUGCCAAAUUUUAAUUACAUUCAGUGACUAUUGUAUUUGUUUUAUAACAUGCAUCACCGACACGAUGAUUUAAACAAUUCAAAAGAAAAACAAAUUGGAAAGCCCAAGAGCUGGAAUAGUUCCUGGCUUCCUGCAUGAAUCGUCCUUCAUGGUCUGCUUUUGAACAUAGUCAAAAUGGCCAUAUAAAAUGAAUAAUAGUCAAGAUCCAAAUCACUCAAUAUAGUAACACUUUGUAAAAGGAAUAAUUCAGAAUAGUGACCAAUUCCAUUGUUGUAGUUUAUAAGGUGUGCAAACUACAAAAAGAUCUCGAGAAUCUUAGUGGUCUUAAUCACAUCAUAUGCGUCAUUGUUUUUUAUUUCCUUUUGAUUAGUACAAAAAUCCACCACUGUUAUCACUGGCCAACCGUACAACGACAUCCCUUGUAAAUCACCCAGAAAGGGUUUCCCCCCGCUUUGUAUUUCAAAGCAACCACCACGAUACAGCCAAAGAUAGGUGCUGGGGCGGAAGCAGCACAGUCACGCCAAAAAGAAACGGAGGAGAAAACAUAAAAGAAACAAAUGCCAAGAACGGCGGAUCAACGAAAAACGAAGAAGCCCCGCGACCGCUGCGCCCACCGGAGAACUCCCGCCAAGCUCCACGACUCCGGAAUGCCGGCACCAAGCAACACCUCCAAGAAGGGAUGCAACGACGACGAUGCUCCUGCGAAGGGUUUCCCCCGGUACGCGGCGAGGUGAUAGGAAGGGUCGCCCCGACGCCUUCCAGGAAGGACUGACGACACCCACAGGCGCCACCACACCGGUGUCGGCCAAACCGACAGGGAUUUCUUCCGAUCCCAACCCACCCCUUAGGGGCUUCGGAGCUCGCCACCAAACCGACCACCACCCUGCGCCAACACGGACUUGAUGCUUCCACGCCGUCUCACCACGACACCACGAAGUAGGGUCUGCACAAUGAUGAGGAGGAGGCGGGACUAGGGUAGCAGCACCGUCGGUACGCGGGAGGGCUCAACAUCCACCGUCAACGAUGGUAACCAAUCGGACGCAAUAGCAGGGGCAAAUCAGACCCGUGAGCAGACAGGUCCGGCCGGGCGCUCAUAUGCCCGUAAAGCCCCCGCCUUCGCGCUGCAGAAUACGUGCCAACGGCGCCGCCGCCCAUCGUCCGAGCCGCUCCACCUCAUCACCGCGUAGAGAGCAGUGAGGCAACGCCAAGACCGGCCCGCUAGGACCUUGAUGGGGCCCAUAGGGCCUAGAUCUGGGCCAGGUUCAUGCCGCCGGCCGACCUGCGCCAUCCCGCCGCCCCGCCGCCAAAGGGCGUCGCCACCACCGCGACAGGUCGCCGCCAGCCGCCACCAGGCCGAUGGGCCGCCGUAGGCCAAGGAACACCGCCACCGGAAACGCCGCACGAAUCGAGAAUCUGCGUCGGGGAUGAGCAGGGGGCCGCCACCGCCAGCCAGACCACGGCGCCGCGGGCAGCGCCCGACCGCGCCGGCCGGUGGCAGCGGCAGGAGGAGGAGGUACNNNNNNNNNNNNNNNNNNNNNNNNNNNNNNNNNNNNNNNNNNNNNNNNNNNNNNNNNNNNNNNNNNNNNNNNNNNNNNNNNNNNNNNNNNNNNNNNNNNNNNNNNNNNNNNNNNNNNNNNNNNNNNNNNNNNNNNNNNNNNNNNNNNNNNNNNNNNNNNNNNNNNNNNNNNNNNNGGCGCUGGGGCGCCCGCGCCGGCGGCCGGCGGCUGUAGGAGGCCGACGGCGGCGGGGGGAAACCCUAGCGGGAGGAUGAGAGGAGCUCUAGGAGUCGCGGGACCGGAAUCCCCAACCCUUCUCCCCCAUCCCCUGUGAAUCCACAUAUCGAUCCUGGCUUACGCGUAUAGUCGAAUCAACCAAACUGCAAAUCAAAAUGGACAAACGAAUCAAAUGUUACCAACACAUGUACCUCGCUGGGGAGAAGGCAGUUUGCCCCAAUAAUCGGUAACAUAGUGGAAAUAAUCGAUUGAAAAGAUGAGCUCACUUGUGUGCCCUUGCUUGGCGGAAGGCGUUGGGAUAGAGGCGCCUGCGGAGGGUGGUGAGAAGAAGAUGCAGACUACUCCACACGUGCAUGCCUCUACCACCACGUAUAACAUGGAAUCCCGACACCCACCAACACUGUUAUUGCUGCCUCCUCGCAGCCCCUUCUUCCUCCUUGCACUGCCUCACACAGCUCACACAACUCUCUUUUCUCUCUGCCAUGGUUUCUCACAAGAAGUCAAGAACACAAGAAAACACACGCACGCACAGACACACAUGGGUCAAGGAAAAACACAAUAGCUUUGUCGAGAGACACCUUCCUUGGUGAGCCAUGACUACAUUGUGUUUCCAGCCCUCACGGCGGCCUUAAAUUUUUUCUCGUUCAUCUAUUUUCUUUAUAACCUUUUUCUCAUUCAUCUGUUGAACUUACUAGCAAAAGGGACCGUGCGUUGCAAUGGGGCAUUAAUAUUUAUAGCACAAGACCAAUUGUGUUAAAUGCCACGCAUGUGCUUCACUAUGGAGCAAAUGGCAAUUGCCAUGAAUUACAAUUGAUCGGAAAAUUCAAUUUAGUUAAAACUUGACAAUUAAAAUGAGUGCGUUAUGAUGGAAAAAGAGGUGAGGAAGACCUCCAAGUGAAAAGGCGAGGAAUGUAUUCAUAGUCAUAGAGCAUAUCUGAUUCGUUUUUUGUAGUAUGGGUUCCUUAUUCAUAGUCAUAGGCUUGAAACGAUCUCUUCGUUAGUCACCAAUGAAUCAGCAACUUAAUUAAUUAUAUAUGAGCUAAAUAUCAGAUUAGUUUAAUAUGAAGUAAUACGUUGUGAAGAAAGGAAGCAUGUCCAAAAAUUUAACAACGGGGCAAUUUUCUUGCAUUUCAGUUUGUAUGUGACAAGAAACAAAUGAGAUUUAUGAAAAAGUGGGAAUAAGCUACGCCAAGACUACUUAGCUAAAAGAUUUAUUUUGGAGUUGUUCAACUGGUCAAUCUAUCGUGUUCCUCUCAUCUUAUUGGAGCACUUGCCUUUAUUGUGUUCCUGAAUUAGCACAAGAUCAACAGAUGCAGCAUGCAUUUGCCAAUAUGCAUUCAUACCAUAGUGUACUGCCACCUAAGUAAAGUUAGCUGGUAGAUCCUGCUGAUCGGGUUGAACAACCAAAAAGAAAUUGAGAUGAGAGUCCCGUGAUCACAUGACCCGACAGAAAAAAAUAGGCCUUCAAGAUGCACCUGAAUCGUUCGUGCAGCCAAGCUGCUGAGCCAAGACCCGUCUCCAGUCGCAAGCCGGCAUUGUCCAGGAGCCGCGGUCAUAUCCAGUCGCGAGCAGGGAAUGUCUACGCGCCAUGAAUGAUCCAAUGGUGUUGGUAUUUUGUCCUACGACAGUGGAAUUCAGCGAGGUGCUUAUACCGAAAUACCAAUAUUACUGACCACUGGAAUCAAAGUAUUGUUUCUUACUUUGAAUUUAAAUCUGUCUAAGCUUUUGCACAUGAAUCAUAUAACUUAUACUACUUCACAUCAUGAAUUUCCCACUAAAUCAAAGAAGCCAAUGGUUAGUAUGACUACCCAGAAAAUUAAUUUCCGUUAAAGAACUUAUUAAACUAUAGAAGUGAACGGUUCUGUGUCUGGGAUCCGAUGGGGCAGCCUCUUCCAGUUCCAUGUCUUUUUUGUUUCGUCCUCCUGUACAUAUUCCCUGCAGCUUAUUGUGGGUGCUCAUCAUGCCAAUAAUUUGUACUUAGAGAUGAGAUGCAUGCUGUCAGACUCAAAACUUUUUGAUGGAAGUGAUAAAUACUCUAAUUUUGACAAAAUAUGAUGCCAUUCGCGUCUGCUGCCUUUAAAUACCAAUCUGAAUUUAACCAUAUCUGCUAUUUGAUCUGCAACAUACAGGCGUAUGGCCGCUCAACACUAAUUCCCCUAGACUCUCAGCCGCAGCCGCCACACUCGUCUCUAGGUCUCCUCAUCCUUUGACCCCCACCGUCGCCAUCUCUGCCUCUGCCAUGCUGCCUUCAUCAUUGCGGUGGAGCACGCGACGACUAAAGUGCCGGAAGCCUUCCUAGCGGUGGUUGGCUGUCAGAGUGUUAAGCCUGUGUUCCCAUUGCUAUCCUAUGGGUUUGAGCAUGACCAAGGCUAAUAGGCUACUGAGUUCCAUCACAAUUGGUAGCGCAUCAUGCUUAUGUACAUUAAGAAACCAUACAAAAUACAGAAAACAAAUACAACCUGAAAGGUUUAAAAAGGCCAAAGAAGCAUUAAGGAGACUAAUUAAUUAGGAAACUUGCAGACAUAUGACAGAUCAGAUGAGGCUAACUCAAUUUUCCAAAUUUCUUGCAACAGUGAUUUAUGUUUGAAGACGUUACACAGGUGGUGGUGAUCGAUACUACGCAGGGGAUUCAUGUAGAAACACCUAAACCAAUGAUUGAAAAUUGGUACCUCGGUUGGAGUUGAGUGGACGGCGUUCGGCGAAGUAGUCGAGAUUGGAACCUCGACUAGAACUCGAGCGGAUGGUGGUCCAGCGAAUUAGGCGAGAUUGGAAGCUCCGGACGCUAGUAUGGCACUUUCAAGCACCGUAACUUGUGAUUGCUCGGGGUUUGGGGGGUCGAGACCUUUUUAUGGCAGCGAGGGGAUCGGAUGAAAUCCGAGUCAGGUACCACCCCAUGGCUGCGUGCUCAGGUGGUUUCGUUAUCCUGCACGGACAGGACACAAGGACUAUGAUCCAAGUCGGAUGGAGAUGGAGGAGGCCGAGAGGCGGACUACGACGGAGCGGUGAGCGGCUGCCGGAUCGGCACGCUCUGGUUCGAGGCGCAGGGCCGGCGGUCGCCAUUGAGAGGACAUCGCCCUCCACCCAGUGCGUCACGGUGGGCUCUUCCUACCACUCAUCUCGCUCACCGCCGUCCUCGCCGCGGAGGUCCUCCUCGCCAACUCCCCUCGCUGCAGUCGUGCUCCUCGAUGCCAGAGCCAUCAGCUGCGCCGACCCGUCAAGUGAGGUAGAGAAGAGAAUGUGGAUUAGGAUAGGGUUGGCUGGAGGUGGAGCAGGCUGGGAGAUGAAAGGCGGCGGAGCGGUGAUCCAGGCACUUGGGCAACGAAGCGAUGAGGCGGAUCGGGAGGCGCUGAGGAGGAAGAAGAUGAGCGAGCGGAUCGUGGUCGGUCCGGCUUCUAAGUUGUUUUUUUAUUGACAAAACUCGUACCUGUACGAAAUAAAAGGAAACAAUCUUUCCCUUUUUUGGAAACAAAGCAUCGUUAUGUGAACCGGUUGGUGCCAGUUGCCUUCUUCUAUGCGAGUAGGGUUGGACUCCCCGGUAUCACAAUUUAUUUAUUUUAACCCAAAUGCGAUUUUCUUUUUUAGGUGCAACAGAAAACGGGAAGACGUACAAAAACAUAGACGUGGACCAAAAAACGUACGAAAAAUAAAGAUGUGAACAAAAAAGUUGGAGAAACAAUCCUGUCUUUAAUAUUAAAGAAAGAUAUAGCUAAUACAAAGGGACUUGCACGCAUAGCCUAGCCGGCUACUAACACCAUGUACACAGGUCAUUCAUGCCACUAACCAACUAACCCACGCACUACCACGUGACAUAUAUAGCAAUCAAUCCAAACAAUUAAAAAAACUAACCCACACACUAACAGAACCAAUGCAUCUCCUCCUAAAAUCUCUUUAGGAGUCAUGACUCCCCGGUAACACAAUUUAUUUAUUUUAACCCAAAUGCGAUUUUCUUUUUUAGGUGCAACAGAAAACAGGAAGACGUACAAAAAUAUAGACGUGGACCAAAAAACGUACGAAAAAUAAAGAUGCGAACUAAAAAGUUGGAGAAACAAUCCUGUCUUUAAUAUUAGAGAAAGAUAUAGCUAGUACAAAGGGACUUACACGCAUAGCCUAGCCGGCUACUAACACCAUGUACACAGGUCAUUCAUGCCACUAACCAACUAACCCACGCACUACCACGUGACACAUAUAGCAAUCAAUCCAAACAAUUAAAAAAAACUAACCCACGCACUAACAGAACCAAUGCAUCUCCUCCUAAAAUCUCUUUAGGAGUCAUGACUCCCCGGUAACACAAUUUAUUUAUUUUAACCCAAAUGCGAUUUUCUUUUUUAGGUGCAACAGAAAACAGGAAGACGUACAAAAAUAUAGACGUGGACCAAAAAACGUACGAAAAAUAAAGAUGUGAACAAAAAAGUUGGAGAAACAAUCCUUUCUUUAAUAUUAAAGAAAGAUAUAGCUAGUACAAAGGAACUUGCACGCAUAGCCUAGCCGGCUACUAACACCACGUACACAGGUCAUUCACGCCACUAACCAACUAACCCACGCACUACCACGUGACACAUAUAGCAAUCAAUCCAAACAAUUAAAAAAACUAACCCACGCACUAACAGAACCAAUGCAUCUACUCCUAAAAUCUCUUUAGGAGUCAUGACUUGCCUCCAAUGUACGUUGCAAGUAGCCCCCAGUUCAAGAAUUCAUCCGAUUAACCAGUUAACUUGUUGAUUAAUGCCUACUCAUAGGAUCAUUGAGUAGCUGAUAAACUGAUAAAUCGCCCGAUUAAUUGAUCAAAUGGCCGGUUAAUUUACCGAUCAGCCCAUUAAUCUCCUACUCGCUAGCCAGCUGAGCAGCUACCGGUUAACGAUUUUCUCAACAAUGCAAGUAGCUAACAAACUCUCAUGCAGCUAACUAUGCCUGGUACUUGCACGGCCAAGUCCAGCAGCCUCCUCAACGGCCACAAGACUCAACCCAACCAGUAUCCAUGAUAUUGUAUAGCCCAUCAUGCUCCAGUAUCUAGCAUGUCCUGCGCUUCUCGCGACCUUGCCGUAUCUCACAACAUCAUCGGCAUCUCACCGUGCUCGCCGCAUCGCACAACAGCCUGACAUAUCACCUCCUUCGCGCACACAACCAAAGAUUUAUUGGCCUAUACCACUCUACUAUUGUUUAAACUACAUGCACGUAGCAAAACUAAAUAUGCGGAUACAGGAAUCAAGAUUAAAUCUAACAUUUCCCCUCAUAGUCUUGAUUCUCCAAUCUCCACGUAGCUUCACUUUGCCUUGAACGACACCAUCGCAGGGACGAUCACCGUACACAUUCUUGUCGUGGACGACGUCAUCGCGGCGCCGGUCACCAUACCGCCUUGCCGCAUGCAGCGGCCACCUCUUGAUGUGGACGACGCCAUCAUAGCGCCGAUCACAACAUCAUCUUUCUAUGGACCACGCCAUCACAACGCUGGUCACCACGCACCUUGCCGCAACAUCACACUGCAACAGUUGUUGGCUUCGCACGAGCUAUGCAUGAUGACGAUGGCAUUGCACCACCGCCGUCGGCAUCGCACCGCAUCUCCUUGAAAUGGCAUCACAUCAUCGUCAUAGCAGCAUCACACCAUCGUCUCCUCCUAGUAGCAUCACAUCGCAACCGGCCACCGGCGACAUCGCGUCGCCGACGUCCUAGACCUCACAUGGAAUCCGCCGUUCGCCGUCCUCGACACGAAUCGACAUGGAUCUAAUGCCAAUUGUUGGCACUGCCUCCUCUUGAGUGGUGAGAGGAAGAAUAAGGGUGCUGCGAGAGGAGGCAGUGCCGCCAAACACGACAGCGACCGAUGCGUUGGAUCCGGGAGCCUUGACGUCAUGCAGGAUGGGAUGACGUAUCCAGGUCGGACGGCGGCGAGUGGCGCCGUGGCGUCAGACGCUUCAUAUUUGACCAUGAUGCGGUGCACUAUGUUGCUCAGCGGCGAUGUGGAAGGCUUUAGGAUCGAGGUGUCAGUGAAGGGUGGUGAGCACAUGACAAGAAGGCAGACGACCCCAUAUGUGCUAGCCUCUGCUGCGAGAUAUAACGCAAACUCCUCGGCGUGCAUCAAUUCAACAUAGUAGCGAGCGAUGUGCUGGAGUCGAAAGCCUCGACGUCGGCCUGGAUGGGACGGAGUCAAUGGGUUGGACGCUAGUGAGCAGCGUGGUGGGGUCCGACACUGACAGACUAUGUCGGCGUCCCGGAACUAAGGCUGAUUGUAUUGGGGUGUAUCAUAUACUAGUAUCAUGCAUAUGAUACUAGUGUAUGAUACUACAUCCGCAAUGCAUAAUAUCAUAUGUUGUAUCAUAGAGGGCUAUAUUUAUUACCAUGCAUGACACAAAGUAGCACAUCAUUUAAUAUGAUACGGUAUCAUGAUAUGAUACUCAAGCAUCUCUUUCUUUAUUUAAUUCUUUGUCACCUCAUCAAAAGUGCUUAGUUGACAUGCAUGAUACUACCUAUAAUACUGCCAUUACGGUCAGCCUAAUAACGGCAAAGAUCGUCAGGUGGGAGAUCGAUGGGAUAUCCAUGUGGUCUUGUCGACCGUCACUACUACUGAUUGGUGUGGUGGAUUCGGCGGUUGAAGAUCUUAUAUCGAGGAAGGUGCAAAAUAGAAGAUGAAUAUGAGUAGGAAAUUCAAACGGCAAGGGAAUAACUAAUGUUCAUUAACUAUGUGAACUUGGGAAGAUGGAGAUAAAACGAUGCAUCUCCGCGGCUCUUCAGAACUCCUUGUUUUUUUUCUUGAGGGGUAAACCAAGCUUUUAUUCAUCAAAGACUAUAUGAUGUGGGAUAAAAUUCGGGUCAUGGGGUUGGCUAAACCAAACGUGACGCCCCAGACCUAAUGAAAGUGAAUGCUUGGCUAGACUAUGUGCUUCUAAGUUGGUAGCACGACCUUUGAAAACAAAAUUGCAACAAGAUGAAUCUAACUGAAGUCUAAUUUCAUUGAUGAUAGCACCGCAGGUGCCCAAGCUGCCCUUAUUGAUAGCACCAAUCACUUGUUGUGCAUCCAAAGCAAUUACAAACUGAUUGAGGUGUAGAUCUGCUGCUAGUGCCAACCCUUCACGAUAGGCUAUAGUUUCGCGCUGCCGGGUCAUCUAGUCCGCCAAUGACCAUAGUAGAACUCCCCAGAAAAGCAAGUGUGUUGUCCCUGCAGACUGCAGCUGCAGUACCUCUGCUGCCUCGUCGGCAUCCAGCGUCUACAUUGAUUUUCACGUACCCCUGGGGAGGAGCUUUUGGUCUCUGGCUCGCUGCUGCCACUAUUGGUUCUGCUUGGGGCACCUGCUGGUUCCCCCUGAUAGCAUCUAAUUCAUUGAUGAAUUUGUUAACAAAAGUGUAGAUCAUAUGCAGACUUUGGAAAAUCCCUUCGUGAAUUGCUUUACGUCUUGCGGCCCAUAAUGCCCAGAGUGUAACCGAAAGCUUCACAAAAUCUUUAUGUGAUAAUGAGUCCAUCAAUGUGAAUACCACUAUUUUGCAUUCGGUUCAGUUGUUGUAGCCAUUAUUUGAGCCAACUCCUCAUCAACCAACGAUCACGUACAACGAGACAUGGUGCACUCUAAUACGUUCAUUUUGCGUCAUGUUUUUCUACUGUUAUUUAUUAUGUUUUGAGCCAUUAUUUUACUUUAUGAUAUAAUUCUUAUGCGGUUUCUCUCUUAUUUUGCAAAUUUCACAUGAAGAGGGAGAUUGCCGGCAGCUAAAAUUCAGGACCGGAAAGGGCUACAUUAGAAAUACCUAUUCUGCACAACUCCAAAUGACCUCAAAAUUGGCAGGGAAUUAUUUUAGAGUAUAUAAAAUUUAUUGCUGAAAGAAACAUCAAACUAUGACAACCUUGUACCCUAGGCGUCUAGGGUUUUUAUACUCCGUCGUCUCCCUGGCGGCAUUGAGUUAGUUAGUCUUGUUUCUGUCCCUGAUCUCAUAAUAGUCCCCCACCCCGCGACUGCACUCGUCGUCCAGAUGGCCGCAUCAUCGUCCUCAAGGAGUCCGGACGGUGCAGCGGGAGGAAAAGGCAAGGGUGGUGUUGGAAUCGAUCUAGAAGAUGCGAUGAAGCCGAAGACGAAGAGCUUGAUGACAUUUUUGUGGCUGAAGAGGAAAUCUCGGGUCUCUCCAAAUCUGCUAGAUGGUUAGCGGUUGAUGAGGUGAACACGAACAAGUUCUUUGGUGCAGAUGCAUUCAAGGAUACUAUGAAAUAUGCAUGGAACUUGGCACAUGAACCAGAGAUCACGGAAGUUGAUGACAAUCUCUUUGUGAUUCAGUGCUUUUGCCUAGGCGAAUAGAACAAGGUCAUGCACCAGGGUCUGUGAAUCUUCCGCGGUUUGGUUGUACUUAUUGAUGAAUAUGGCGGCAAAAGAAAAACCAUGAUUAUUCAAGAUGGAGCAAGUCAAUGUCUGGGCACAGAUUGAUGAUACUCCGAACCUCUAGGUUGGAAGGCAUUGCUGAUCAGAUGGCUCGUAGGAUUGGCCAGGUAAACAACAUGGAGAUGAACCCAUCCAGGGUUUAGGUUUAGACCCUUGAACCUUAAUGGGAAGGAGCAAUUUUUAUGCUAGUUAAGUACGAGAAGAUCGGCUUAUUUUGUGGAGUUUGCGGCAUCCUUGGUCAUAACCUAAGACGAGGUUCAUGGGCUAGAUGAUAGAGAAUAUGAGGACUAUAUGAUGUGGGUAACUGGUAAGAAGGUCAUUUUCUAGUGAUCGGAGUGCUAGUCGAGGUGGUUUUUCUGCUCUGGCCAGGGGCAUGCCGUUCAAGGGUGCGUGAGGUCGGCACCGUGGUGGUCGCUCGACUGGCACAUGAAACAUGCCCCGCAAGUGACUUUCAAGGAAGGCAAGCUUGGAUGAAGAUGGAGAGGAUGAGUUGGACGACUCGAUGACUAGCCCAUUAAAGAAUACGUCAGCUCCGGUAGGUGAAGAGAAGGACAAGGAAAGUGUUGCAACGAAGUUAGACCCUCGUACAUAAAAUGUGCAUGCUAAUGUUAAGGAUCAUGAUGUCACCGGAGAGAAGAACAUGCAAGAAGCUAUGCCAAGGAAGGGCAUGGUGACGGGCUGCAUGUCCCUCUUCUCCCAUCUCAAUAUGUGAAGUGAAGGGAUAAGAAGAAACCAAAACAGGGAACUUCACCCUAAAAAAGAUGAACUCUGAUGAAAAAUUGGCAGGCUUCGGCGUUUAGGUUGGGCUUUGAUAAUUGUUAUGCCGUAGGGAGUGAUGGCCGCAAUGGCGGUUUGGCUAUGUACAAGAAUAAUUAUAUUACAAUGAAAUUGAUUCACUAUUCCUAGUAUCAUAUUGAUAUGGAAAUUAGAAUAUAUGGAGAAGAACAAUGGCAGCUUACAAAUAUCUAUGGAGGAGCUAAUACAAGGGAGAGAGAAAACUUGGAAACUUCUCGAGUUCCUGAGAUUGAGUCAGAUCUUCCCUACUAUGUAUUGGUGAUUUCAAUGAAGUACUACAUCAGUGUGAGGUUGGGGUCGGCAAGAGGGACACCAAGUAAAUGAAUGACUUUCGAGAAGUAGUGGAUGUAAUUGGGACCCUAAUUCAUAGACCACCACCACCAUCCGUUUGUUUUCUUAAAAAAACACCACUAUUGUGCUAACAAUUUCAGAAAAUACUGGUCACUGGAUUAUCACUGAAUUAGAGACGAUGUUUGACAAAAAAACUGACAUCUGAGUCCCAUGGUCAGGUGCCAUGUGGCCAGUAUGAGAUAAUGUCGCUAAAAAAAUUUCACUGAAUGGAAUCAUAAGGAAGAGAUCAUGUGGAAGCAGAGAUCAAGGGUUCAGGGGAUAACAACACAAAAAUAAUCAGCGGGCAAGCACAUGGAGGAAGAAGAACAAGAUAGGACAACUCGCUAUGUCUGAUGAGUUGUGACGGAUGUUCACGUGCUGCAUAACCUCAUAGUCCAUUUCUGUAAAACUCUAUACACUUUUGAAGGGGCAACAGGGACGGACGUGGUCCUUGAUAGUGUAACGGUAAAGAUGACACAAGUGGUGAACUUCAGGCUCGAUAAGGAGUAUGAGCCCGUAGAGGUGAAGGUUGUUCCUUUUCAUAUGCUCCCCACAAAGGUGUCGGACCCUAGAGGAAGUCUAUCACAUUUUUCAGUGUCACUAGGAUGUUUGUGGGGAUGAGGCAACAAAAGCAGUACUAAGCAUCCUUAAUGGGAUGGGGUGUUGGAAAACGUAGUAGAAAACAAAAAAAUCGCCCUACGAUCACCUAGGAACAAUAUGAAGAUGCAUAUAGGGUUUGGAUCAAUGAUAAUUACCAACUCUGGAGUGCAACAGAAGUAGACGAGUUGGUGUAGAUCGUACUUGGAGUCCCUCGAACCAUUGAUGAUGACACUUCAAACCGUAGACAUAGUGGCAACACAAGUAGAAAUAGUAACGGAAUAUUUUUUGGGGGGGGUAUUGUUUGGAAAUUAUGGCAAACAAAGAAGGCAAAAAUUCAAAAGGCAACUAGACAAGAAAAUAGAAACAAGCAAAAUAGAAGUGUUUCUGCGAAGGCACCUGAUUUGGUACAUGAUGACUCCCCUGUUGGGGAACGUAGCAUAAAUUCAAAAUUUUCCUACGUGUCACCAAGAUCUAUCUAUGGAGAAACCAGCAACGAGGGGAAGGAGAGUGCAUCUACAUACCCUUGUAGAUCGCUAAGCGGAAGCGUUCAAGAGAACGGGGUUGAAGGAGUCGUACUCAUCGUGAUCCAAAUCACUGGAGAUCCUAGUGCCGAACGGACGGCACCUCCGCGUUCAACACACGUACAGCCCGGUGACGUCUCCCAUGCCUUGAUCCAGCAAGGAGAGAGGGAGAGGUUGAGGAAGACUCCAUCCAGCAGCAGCACAACGGCGUGGUGGUGAUGGAGGAGCGUGGCAAUCCUGCAGGGCUUCGCCAAGCACCGCGGGAGAGGAGGAGUAAGAGAGGUAGGGCGCGCCAAUAGAGGGAGAAACUCAUAUCUUGGGCAGCCCCCAAGCCUCAAGUAUUUAUAGGGGGAGGGGAGGGGCUGCGCCCCCUCUAGGGUUCCCUCCCCAAGGGUGGCGGCAGCCCCCAGAUGCCAUCUGGGUGGUGGCCAGAGGGGGAGAGAGGGGAGGCGCGCCUGGGGUGGGCCUUAGGGCCCAUCUGCCCUAGGGUUUGCCCCCUCCCACUCUCCCUUGCGCCUUGGGCCCCUUGUGGGGGGCGCACCAGCCCACCUGGGGCUGGUUCCCUCCCACACUUGGCCCAUGCAGCCCUCCGGGGUUGGUGGCCCCACUUGGUGGACCCCCGGGACCCUCCCGGUGGUCCCGGUACUUUAACGGAAAAACCCGAAACUUUUCCGGUGACCAAAACAGGACUUCCCAUAUAUAAAUCUUUACCUCCGGACCAUUCCAGAACUCCUCGUGACGUCCGAGAUCUCAUCCGGGACUCCGAACAACAUUCGGUAACCACAUACAAACUUCCUUUAUAACCCUAGCGUCAUCGAACCUUAAGUGUGUAGACCCUACGGGUUCGGGAACCAUGCAGACAUGACCGAGACGUUAUCCGGUCAAUAACCAACAGCGGGAUCUGGAUACCCAUGUUGGCUCCCACAUGUUCCACGAUGAUCUCACCGGAUGAACCACGAUGUCAAGGACUCAAUCGAUCCCAUAUACAAUUCCCUUUGUCUAGCGGUAUUGUACUUGCCCGAGAUUCGAUCGUCAGUAUACCGAUGCCUUGUUCAAUCUCGUUACCGGCAAGUCUCUUUACUCGUUCUGUAACACAUCAUCCCGUGAUCAACCCCUUGAUCACAUUGUGCACAUUAUGAUGAUGUCCUACCGAGUGGGCCCAGAGAUACCUCUCCGUUUACACGGAGUGACAAAUCCCAGUCUCGAUUCGUACCAACCCAACAGACACUUUCGGAGAUACCUGUAGUGCACCUUUAUAGCCACCCAGUUACGUUGUGACGUUUGGUACACCCAAAGCAUUCCUACAGUAUCCGGGAGUUGCACAAUCUCAUGGUCUAAGGAAAUGAUACUUGACAUUAAAAAAGCUUUAGCAUACGAACUACGAUCUUUGUGCUAGGCUUAGGAUUGGGUCUUGUCCAUCACAUCAUUCUGCUAAUGAUGUGAUCCCAUUAUCAACGACAUCCAAUGUCCAUGGUUAGGAAACCUUAACCAUCUAUUGAUCAACGAGCUAGUCAACAGAGGCUUACUAGGGACAUGGUGUUGUCUAUUUAUCCACACAUGUAUCUGAGUUUCCUUUCAAUACAAUUAUAGCAUGGAUAAUAAACGAUUAUCAUGAACAAGGAAAUAUGAUAAUAACUAAUUUAUUAUUGCCUCUAGGGCAUAUUUCCAACAGUCUCCCACUUGCACUAGAGUCAAUAAUCUAGUUCACAUCGCCAUGUGAUCAACAUUGAUAGGUCACAUCGCCAUGUGACCAACAUCCAAAGAGUCUACUAGUGUCUUAAACUAGUUCACAUCACCAUGUGAUUAAGUCUCAAUGAGUUCUAGGGUUUGAUCAUGUUUUUGCUUGUAAGAGAAGUUUUAGUCAACGGGUCUGCAACAUUCAGAUCCGUAUGUACUUCGCAAAUUUCUAAGUCAUGUUGUAAAUGCUGCUUCUACGCUCCACUAUACGUAUCCGGUUUGCUACUCAGAGUCACUCGGAUAGGUGUUAAAGCUUGCAUUGACGUAACCCUUUACGCCGAACUCUUUAUCACCUCCAUAAUCGUGAAACAUGUCCUUAUUUACUCCAAGGACAAUUGUGACCGCUGUCCAAUGAUCCAUUCCUGGAUCAUUCUUGUACCCCUUGACUGACUCAUGGCAAGGCACACUUCCGGUGCGGUACACAGCAUAGCAUACUAUAGAGCCUACGUCUGAAGCAUAGGGGACGACCUUCGUCCUUUCUCUCUUUUCUGCCGUGGUCGAGCUUUAAGUCUUAACUUCAUACCUUACAUCUCAGGCAAGAACUCCUUCUUUGACUGAUCCAUCUUGAACACCUUCAAGAUCAUGUCAAGGUAUAUGCUCAUUUGAAAGUACCAUUAAGUGGUUUUGAUCUAUCCUCAUACAUCUUGAUGCUCAAUGUUCAAGUAGCUUAAUCCAGGUUUUCUAUUGAAAAACACUUUUCAAAUAACCCUAUAUGCUUUACAGAAAAUUCUACAUCAUUUCUGAUCAUCAACAUGUCAACAAUAUAUACUCAUCAGAAAUUCUAUAGUGCUCCCACUCACUUCUUUGGAAAUACAAGUUUCUCAUAAACUUUGUAUAAACCCAAAAUCUUUGAUCAUCUUAUCAAAGUACAUAUUCCAACUCCGAGAUGCUUACUCCAGUCCUUAGAAGGAUCGCUGGAGCUAGCAUACCUUUUAGCAUCCUUAGGAUCGACAAAACCUUUCUGAUUGUAUCACAUACAACCUUUCCUUACGAAAACUAGUAAGGAAACUCGUUUUGUCAUCCAUCUGCCAGAUUUCAUAAAUGCAGCUUGUGCUAACAUGAUUCCGACGGACUUAAGCAUCGCUACGGAUGAGAAAAUCUCAUCGUAGUCAACUCCUUGAACUUGUGAAAAACUCUUCGCCACAAGUCGAGCUUCAUAGACGGUGAAAUUACCGUCCACGUCCGUCUUCUUCUUAAAGAUCCAUUUAUCUCAAUGGCUUGCCGAUCAUUGGGCAACUCCACCAAAGUCCAUGCUUUGUUAUGAUACAUGGAUCCUAUCUCGGAUUUCAUGGCUUCUAACCAUUUGUCGGAAUUUGGGCCCACCAUCGCUUCUCCAUAGCUCGUAGGUUCAUUGUUGUCUAGCAACAUGACCUUCAAGACAAGAUUACUGUGCCACUCUGAAGUGGUACGCAUCCUUGUCACCCUACGAGGUACGGUAGUGACUUGAUCCAAAACUUCAUGAUCACUAUCAUAAGCUUCUACUUCAAUUGGUGUAGGUGCCACAGGAACAACUUCCUAUGCCCUGCUACACACUAGUUGAAGUGACGGUUCAAUAACCUCAUCAAGUCUCCACCAUCCUCCCACUCAAUUCUUCGAGACAAACUUUUCCUCGAGAAAGGACCUGAUUCAAGAAACAAUCCCUAUUGCUUUCGGAUCUGAAUUAGGAGGUAUACCCAACUGUUUUGGGUGUCCUAUGAAGAUGCACUUUGUCCGCUUUGGAUUCGAGCUUAUCAACCUGAAACUUUUUCACAUAAGCGUCACAGCCCCAAACUUUUAAGAAACGACAACUUAGGUUUCUCCAAACCAUAAUUCAAACAGUGUCGUCUCAACGGAAUUACAUGGUGCCCUAUUUAAAGUGAAUAUGGUUGUCUCUAAUGCCUAACCCAUAAACAAUAGUGGUAAUUCGAUAAGAGACAUCAUGGUACGCACCAUAUCCAAUAGGGUGCAACUAUGAUGUUCGUGCACACCAUCACACUAUGGUGUUCCAGGCGGUAUUAAUUGUGAAACAAUUUCCACAAUGUCUUAAUUGCGUGCCAAAGCUCGUAACUCAGAUACUCAUCUCUAUGAUCAUAUCAUAGACAUUUUAUCCUCUUAUCACGAUGAUCUUCAACUUCACUCUGAAAUUACUUGAACCAUUCAAUAAUUCAGACUUGUGUUUUAUCAAGUAAAUAUACUCAGUAUCUACUCAAAUCAUCCGUGAAGUAAGAACAUAACGAUAUUCACUGCAUGCCUCAGCACUCAUUGGACUGCACACAUCAAAAUGUGUUGCUUCCAACAAGUUGCUAUCUUGUUCCAUUUUACUGAAAAUGAGGCUUUCAGUCAUCUUGCCCAUGUGGUAUAAUUUGCAUAUCUCAAGUGAUCCAAAAUCAAGUGAGUCCAAACGAUCCAUCUGCAUGGAGUUUCUUCAUGCGUAUACACCAAUAGACAUGGUUCGCAUGUCUCAAACUUUUCAAAAACGAGUGAGUCCAAAGAUCCAUCAACAUGGAGCUUCUUCAUGCGUUUUAUACCAAUAUGACUUACAUGGCAGUGCCACAAGUAAGCGGUACUAUCAUUACUAUCUUAUAUCUUUUGGCAUGAAAAUGUGUAUCACUACGAUCGAGAUUCAGUAAACCAUUCCUUUAGGUGCAAGACCACUGAAGGUAUUAUUCACAUAAAUAGAGUAACCAUUAUUCUCCUUAAAUGAAUAACCGUAUUGCAACAGACAUAAUCCAAUCAUGUCUAUGCUCAACGCAAACACCAAAUGACAAUUAUUCAGGUUUAAUACUAAUCUUGAUGGUAGAGGGAGCGUGCGAUGUUUGAUCACAUCAAUCUUGGAAACACUUCCAACACAUAUCGUCAACUCACCUUUAGCUAGUCUCCGUUUAUUCCGUAGCUCUUUUAUUUCGAGUUGCUAACACUUAGCAACCAAACCGGUAUCUUAAUACCCUGGUGCUACUAGGAGUACUAGUAAAGUACACAUUAACAUAAUGUAUAUCCAAUAUACUUCUAUCGACCUUGCCAGCCUUCUCAUCUACCAAGUAUCUAGGGUAAUUCCGCUCUAGUGACUGUUCCCCUCAUCAAAGAAGCACUUAGUCUCGGGUUUGGGUUCAACCUUGGGUUUCUUCACUGGAGCGGCAGCUGAUUUGUCGUUUCAUGAAGUAUCCCUUCUUGCCCUUGCCCUUCUUGAAACUAGUGGUUUCACCAACCAUCAACAAUUGAUGCUCCUUCUUGAUUUCUACUUUCGCGGUGUCAAACAUCGCGAAUACCUCAAGGAUCAUCAUAUCUAUCCCUGAUAUGUUAUAGUUCAUCACGAAGCUCUAGCAGCUUGGUGGCAAUGACAUUAGAGAAACAUCACUAUCUCAUCUGGAAGAUAACUCCCACUCGAUUCAAGUGAUUGUUGCACUCAGACAAUCUGAGCACAAGCUCAACGAUUGAGCUUUUCUCCCUUAGUUUGGAGGCUAAGAAAAUCGUCGGAGGUCUUAUACCUCUUGACGUGGGCACGAGCCUGAAAUCCCAAUUUCAGCCCUCGAAACAUCUCAUAUGUUCCGCGACAUUUCGAAAAAACGUCUUUGGUGCCUCAACUCUAAACCGUUUAACUGAACUAUCACGUAGUUAUCAAAACGUGUAUGUCCUAUGUUCGCAACAUCCACAAACGACGUUUGGGGUUCAGCACACUGAGCGGUGCAUUAAGGACGUAAGCUUUCUACUGUCUGCAUAAUCGCUACUGUCAACUUUCAACUAUAUUUUCUCUAGGAACAUAUCUAAACAUUGGAACUAAAGCGCGAGCUUACGACAUAACUUGCAAAGAUCUUUUGACUAUGUUCAGGAUAAUUAAGUUCAUCUUAUGAACUCCCACUCAGAUAGACAUCCCUCUAGUCAUCUAAGUGAUUACAUGAUCCGAGUCAACUAGGCCGUGUCCGAUCAUCACGUGAGACGGACUAGUCAUCAUCGGUGAACAUCUUCAUGUUGAUCGUAUCUACUAUACGACUCAUGCUCGACCUUUCGGUCUCUGUGUUCCGAGGCCAUGUCUGUACAUGCUAGGCUCGUCAAGUUAACCCUAAGUGUUUCGCGUGUGUAAAUCUGUCUUACACCCGUUGUAUGUGAACGUAAGAAUCCAUCACACCCGAUCAUCACGUGGUGCUUAGAAGCGACGAACUUUAGCAACGGUGCACAGUUAGGGGAGAACACUUCUUGAAAUUGUUGUAAGGGAUCAUCUUAUUUACUACCGUCGUUCUAAGUAAACAAGAUGCAUAAACAUAAUAAACAUCACAUGCAAUUAUAUAGUAGUGACAUGAUAUGGCCAAUAUCAUAUAGCUCCAUUGAUCUCCAUCUUCGGGGCUCCAUGAUCAUCAUCGUCACCGGCAUGACACCAUGAUCUCCAUCAUCAUGAUCUCCAUCAUCGUGUCUCCAUGAAGUUGUCUCGCCAACUUUUUACUUCUACUACUAUGGCUACCGGUUAGCAAUAAAGUAAAGUAAUUACAUGGCGUUGUUCAAUGACACGCAGGUCAUACAAUAAAUAAAGACAACUCCUAUGGCUCCUGCCGGUUGUCAUACUCAUCGACAUGCAAGUCGUGAUUCCUAUUACAAGAACAUGAUCAAUCUUAUACAUCACAUAUCAUUCAUCACAUUCUUCUUGGCCAUAUCACAUCACAUAGCAUACCCUGCAAAAACAAGUUAGACGUCCUCUAAUUGUUGUUUGCAUGUUUUACGUGGCUGCUAUGGGUUUCUAGCAAGAACAUUUCUUACCUACGCAAAACCACAACGUGAUAUGUCAAUUGCUAUUUACCCUUCAUAAGGACCCUUUUCAUCGAAUCCGAUCCGACUAAAGUGGGAGAGACUGGCACCCGCUAGCCACCUUAUGCAACAAGUGCAUGUCAGUCGGUGGAACCUGUCUCACAUAAGUGUACGUGUAAGGUCGGUCCGGGAUGCUUCAUCCCACAAUGCCGUCGAAACAAGAUUGGACUAGUAACGGUAAGCAUAUUGAACAAAAUCAACACCCACAACUACUUUGUGUUCUACUCGUGCAAAGAAUCUACGCAAUAGACCUAGCUCAUGAUGCCACUGUUGGGGAACGUAGCAUAAAUUCAAAAUUUUCCUACGUGUCACCAAGAUCUAUCUAUGGAGAAACCAGCAACGAGGGGAAGGAGAGUGCAUCUACAUACCCUUGUAGAUCGCUAAGCGGAAGCGUUCAAGAGAACGGGGUUGAAGGAGUCGUACUCGUCGUGAUCCAAAUCACCGGAGAUCCUAGUGCCGAACGGACGGCACCUCCGCGUUCAACACACGUACAACCCGGUAACGUCUCCCAUGCCUUGAUCCAGCAAGGAGAGAGGGAGAGGUUGAGGAAGACUCCAUCCAGCAGCAGCACAACGGCGUGGUGGUGAUGGAGGAGCGUGGCAAUCCUGCAGGUCUUUGCCAAGCACCACGGGAGAGGAGGAGUAAGAGAGGUAGGGCUGCGCCAAUAGAGGGAGAAACUCAUAUCUUGGGCAGCCCCCAAGCCUCAAGUAUUUAUAGGGGGAGGGGAGGGGGCUGCGCCCCCUCUAGGGUUCCCUCCCCAAGGGUGGCGGCAGCCCCCAGAUGCCAUCUGGGUGGCGGCCAGAGGGGGAGAGAGGGGAGGCGCGCCUGGGGUGGGCCUUAGGGCCCAUCUGCCCUAGGGUUUGCCCCCUCCCACUCUCCCUUGCGCCUUGGGCCCCUUGUGGGGGGCGCACCAGCCCACCUGGGGCUGGUUCCCUCCCACACUUGGCCCAUGCAGCCCUCCGGGGUUGGUGGCCCCACUUGGUGGACCCCCGGGACCCUCCCGGUGGUCCCGGUACGUUACCGGAAAAACCCGAAACUUUUCCGGUGACCAAAACAGGACUUCCCAUAUAUAAAUCUUUACCUCCGGACCAUUCCGGAACUCCUCGUGACGUUCAGGAUCUCAUCCGGGACUCCGAACAACAUUCAGUAACCACAUACAAACUUCCUUUAUAACCCUAGCGUCAUCGAACCUUAAGUGUGUGGACCCUACGGGUUCGGGAACCAUGCAGACAUGACCGAGACAUUAUCCGGUCAAUAACCAACAGCAGGAUCUGGAUACCCAUGUUGGCUCCCACAUGUUCCACGAUGAUCUCAUCGGAUGAACCACGAUGUCAAGGACUCAAUCGAGCCCGUAUACAAUUCCCUUUGUCUAGCGGUAUUGUACUUGCCCGAGAUUCGAUCGUCGGUAUACCGAUACCUUGUUCAAUCUCGUUACUGGCAAGUCUCUUUACUCGUUCCGUAACACAUCAUCCCGUGAUCAACCCCUUGAUCACAUUGUGCACAUUAUGAUGAUGUCCUACCGAGUGGGCCUAGAGAUACCUCUCCGUUUACACGGAGUGACAAAUCCCAGUCUCGAUUCGUACCAACCCAACAGACACUUUCGGAGAUACCUGUAGUGCACCUUUAUAGCCACCCAGUUACGUUGUGACGUUUGGUACACCCAAAGCAUUCCUACAGUAUCCGAGAGUUGCACAAUCUCAUGGUCUAAGGAAAUGAUACUUGACAUUAAAAAAGCUUUAGCAUACGAACUACGAUCUUUGUGCUAGGCUUAGGAUUGGGUCUUGUCCAUCACAUCAUUCUGCUAAUGAUGUGAUCCCGUUAUCAACGACAUCAAAUGUCCAUGGUUAGGAAACCGUAACCAUCUAUUGAUCAACGAGCUAGUCAACAGAGGCUUACUAGGGACAUGAUGUUGUCUAUUUAUCCACACAUGUAUCUGAGUUUCCUUUCAAUACAAUUAUAGCAUGGAUAAUAAACGAUUAUCAUGAACAAGGAAAUAUGAUAAUAACUAAUUUAUUAUUGCCUCUAGGGCAUAUUUCCAACAUCCCCGACAACUGUGACGCCCCCGAUUUAAUCGUACACUAAUCAUGCACGCAAAUGUGUACAAUCAAGAUCAGGGACUCACGGGGGGAUAUCACAACACAACUCUAAAACAUAAAUAAGUCAUACAAGCAUCAUAAUACAAGCCAGGGGCCUCGAGGGCUCGAAUACAAGUGCUCGAUCAUAGACGAGUCAGCAGAAGCAACAAUAUCUGAGAACAGACAUAAGUAAACAAGUAGCCAUAGAUGACUAACACAAACUAGGACACAAAUCGAAAGAGGCGCAGGCCUCCUGCCUGGGAUCCUCCUAACUACUCCUGGUCGUCGUCAGCGGCCUGCACGUAGUAGUAGGCACUUCCAGUGUAGUAGGAAUCAUCGUCGACGAUGGCGUCUGGCUCCUGGACUCCAGCAUCUGGUUGCGACAUCCGGAAAGAAAGGAAAGGGGGGAAAAGGGGGGAGAAAGCAACCAUGAGUACUCAUCCAAAGUACUCGCAAGCAAGGAGCUACACUACAUAUGCAUGGGUAUAUGUGUAAAGGGCCAUAUCGGUGGACUGAACUGUAGAAUGCCAGAAAAAAGGGGGAUAGCUAAUCCUGUCGAAGACUACGCUUCUGGCAGCCUCCGUCUUGCAGCAUGUAGAAGAGAGUAGAUUGAAGUCCUCCAAGUAGCAUCUCCAAGUAGCAUCUGCAGUCGCAUCUCCAGUCGCAUCGCAUAGCAUAAUCCUACCCAGCGAUCCUCUCCUCAUAUCCCUGAGGGAGAGCGACCACCGGUUGUAUCUGGCACUUGGAAGGGUGUGUUUUAUUAAGUAUCCGGUUCUAGUUGUCAUAAGGUCAAGGUACAACUCCAAGUCGUCCUGUUACCGAAGAUCACGGCUAUUCGAAUAGAUUAACUUCCCUGCAGGGGUGCACCAACUUACCCAACACGCUUGAUCCCAUUUGGCCGGACACACUUUCCUGGGUCAUGCCCGGCCGCGGAAGAUCAACACGUCGCAGCCCCACCUAGGCACAACAGAGAGGCCAGCACGCCGGUCUAAACCUAAGCGCACAGGGGUCUGGGCCCAUCGCCCAUAGCACACCUGCACGUUGCGUACGCGGCCGAAAGCAGAACUAGCCCCCUUAAUACAAGAGCAGGCUUACGUUCCAAUCCGGCGCGCUCCACUCAGUCGCUGGCGUCACGAAGGCUUCGGCUGGUACCACGACGCCGGGAUACCCAUAACUACUCCCACGUAGAUGGUUAGUGCGUAUAGGCUCGUAGCCAACUCAGAUCAAAUACCAAGAUCUCGUUAAGCGUGUUAAGUACCCGCAAACGCCGAACAGGGCCAGGCCCACCUCUCUCCUAGGCGGUCUCAACCUGCCCUGUCGCUCCGCCACAAAGAUCCACUCGCGGGUGCUCCACCAGCCGACCCGACUUUAGUCUCCACAUGUAUCAUGUAUAAGGUAUAUAGUAUAUACCCGUGAUCACCUCCCGAGUGAUCACGGCCCGAUAAUAUAGCACGGCUGAUGGACAAGAAUGUAGGGCCACAGAUGAAUAUACUAGCAUCCUAUACUAAGCAUAUAGGAUUGCAGGUAAAGGUAACAACAGUAGUAUCAAGGACAGGCUAUCCAUCAGGAUAGGUAUAACAGAAAGCAGUAACAUGCUACACUACUCUAAUGCAAGCAGUAUAGAGUAGAAUAGGCGAUAUCUGGUGAUCAAGGGGGGGGGCUUGCCUGGUUGCUCUGGCAAGAGAGAGGGGUCGUCAACACCGUAGUCGUACUGGGUAGCAGCGGCGUCGGUCUCGAUGUCUAGCGAGAGAAGAGGGGGAAGAAACAAUAAAUAUAAUGCAAACAAAUGCAUGACGAUGCAUGACAUGACGAAGCGUGAUGUUAGGUGUACCCUAACGCGGUACGAGGUGGUACCGGUGAAGGGGGAAUCAUCCGGGAAAGUAUUCCCGGUGUUUCGCAUUUUCGGACAGAGGAGCCGGAGGGGGAAAGUUGCGAGUUCGAUAGGUUAGGGGGUGUGGCGGACGAACGGGUUGCGUAUCCGGAUUCGUCUCGUCGUUCUGAGCAACUUUCAUGUUGAAAAUAAUUUAAUCCGAGUUACAGAUUAAAGGAUAUGAUUUUCUAAAGAUUUUAUUAAUUUCUAGAAUCUAAUUAAUUAUUUAAUUUAAUUCAAAAUUUGGUUUUAUGACAUUAGCAUGAUAUCAUGCUGAUGUCAGCAGUCAACAGAGUUGACUGGUCAACCUGACCAGUGGGUCCCACUGGUCAGUGACACAUUUUAAUUAGACAUAUUAAUUAACCUAAUUAGUAUUAAUUAGGGGGUGGGCCCCACUGUCAUUGACUGAUUAACUAAAACAGAUUAACUAGUUUAAUUGGUAAUUAGGUUAAUCUAAUCAGAAUUAGUUAAGUUAAUUAAUUAACUGAUUAAUUAAUAUUUUAUUAUUUUCUUUUAAUCUUUCUUUUUGAAACGUUCUGGGGCUGGGCCCCGUUUGGCAGUGGCCCAGAGGGGCGAUGCGGUUUACAGGCGCUAGCGGGCGCCGGGUCUCGGGCGUCGCCCGAGCGAGGGGGGAAGCGAGGCAAGGCCAGUGGCAAACGCCGGCGAGGAGCGUGGCGCAGGGAGCGGCCAGACAGGGAGGGGUAAGGCGAAGGCCAUGGCAGAGCUGGGCGGUCGUGGCGAGGCACCGGCCGUGGCCGCGAGCGGUGAAGGCGCGGGUCGCGGCAGAGGCAAGGCCACGGCGGGGCCGGGAAGCAGCGGGCGGGCGCUGGCUGCACGGGGUGUGGGCGAGGCACAGUCGUGACCCUGGGCCAGCAUGCGGUAGGAGCCGCGGUACGAGGCAAGUGGCGCGGGCGGAGCACGGCCACGGUGGCCUUGGGCGCAGGAAGGUGGUGUGGAGCGGCGAGCACGACGAGUGUGGCACAGCCGGGUGGCCGCGGACGCGCAGCGACGGGCGUGGCGAGAAAGGGCGAUGGUGGCGGACGGGUGUGGUGCGAGGAACGAGAUAGAGACGGGGGAAAGCGGGGAUCGAGGGCGCGCUCACCGGGCCCUAUAGGCGUGCAACAGCGUGCUCGGGGAGGGCUCGACGGUGGCAUGCGCCGGCGAUGCGGACGGCGUCCUCGGGCGCGAGUAGAUCCGUCGAGGGAGAAGGAAAGGGGAGCGCGAGAUGGCGGAGCUUUCAAGGGCGACGUCAGAGCCGGGAGGUGGUCCCGGGCGGCGGCGAGCGUUGGGCGUCGGGGUCGGCGGGAUCGGGGCCNNNNNNNNNNNNNNNNNNNNNNNNNNNNNNNNNNNNNNNNNNNNNNNNNNNNNNNNNNNNNNNNNNNNNNNNNNNNNNNNNNNNNNNNNNNNNNNNNNNNNNNNNNNNNNNNNNNNNNNNNNNNNNNNNNNNNNNNNNNNNNNNNNNNNNNNNNNNNNNNNNNNNNNNNNNNNNNNNNNNNNNNNNNNNNNNNNNNNNNNNNNNNNNNNNNNNNNNNNNNNNNNNNNNNNNNNNNNNNNNNNNNNNNNNNNNNNNNNNNNNNNNNNNNNNNNNNNNNNNNNNNNNNNNNNGGGGGGGGAAGUGGGGUGCGGUUAGGGUUUCGGUCGUGCUGACCGGGGGGUUGUAGGCUGGGGCGCUGGGUGGGCCGGCCCAUUCGGACGGCUGGGGCCAGCUGGGCCACUUGGCCCAGCGGAACAGGGGGGGUUCUGUUUUCCCCCCUCUUUUUUUUGUUUGUUUGUUUGUUUUGUUUUACUUUUUUUUAAUUUUAUUUCCUAAUUUGUUUUUAGUUUGGUAAAAUAUCCAAUUAGCACCUAACAUAGUAACAUUAAUUAUACCACUGCCACAACAACUUUGGCACCUAGCUAAAUAGCUUAGUAUUUUGUAAAAUAUAUUAGGAGUAUAACUAAUUGUUUUUGCUGUUGUUUUAAUCACCUUAGGGUAUUUAAUUAUUUUAUAAAGAUGUUGUUUCUCCACCAAUAAUAUCCAUGAUUUAUUUGUCACAUUAAGGACAUUUUAGUUUUGACUUUCGAUAACUUUAAUUGUUUGACUUGACUUUAAAUUUGAAAUUGAACGAGAUUUGAAUCAUCGCAAGAUUAACAACAGUAAUCGUGGUGACGUGGCAUCAUUAGCAGAGGUUUACUGUAGCGUAACUAUCCGGGCGUCACAAUUCUCCUCCACUACAAGAAAUCUUGUCCCGAGAUUUAAGAGGUGGAAUAAGGGGGAAAGGUUCGGUUACGAAAUCCUAACGAAUCUUCUUGGUCUUGGAUGCUCUUCACAAAGAGGUCGAUCCAUUAUGUUGAUGUCUUCAUUCCUCUGCUUCACGGCAUCAUGAUGAAGUCGUCAUCCUUUCUUCAGGAUCUCCAUCGUACUUACGAAUAGGUAAGGGGCAGCUCGGCUACGACAUAAUGCUUAUGAGGGAAACAAUCUGGGGUUAACCCAUGAAUGAGCAUAAGAUUAUCUCUCGAGUUGAACAUAUAAAAUACAUUGAGAGUAAGGUACGAAGGUACAAUAAGAGGUUCCAAGCGGAUAGGUGGUUGCUCGAAGUCCGAACCAGAGUGAGAAAGGGGUUCAGAGUAGCGACAGUAAAUAUUGCGUCUGAUACCAUAAUAGAGCACUAGGAAGGUGGCCCAUGAAUUAAAUACGAAGCCAAGCGUGGGGAAUAACCACUAGAAACAGGGUUGUAUAGGAGAGUCAGGUUUCGAUCCAGUGGACCUGUGGGUUAUGGGCCCACCAUGUGGGUUAGAAGUAGGAAGGGCGGAGACGUCUUGCAUGAUCAUGCAAGCAAGGCAUGUCAGGGGGGUAGCCUGUCGAUUAUGUCGGCGACAACGUCGAUACCAAGGGCGAGGGAUGAAGAGAACUAUUUUCCUGCUCGUUGAACGAGGCGGGCCAAGAGGCAAAGUUCUCAUCCAUCGGCGGUUACCGAAAUGCCAUCAACAAUAGAAACAGGGUCUCACUGUCAGAGUUGUACACUGAGGUGUUUACCUACGCAGUGAAUUAUUACUGCUUAGAUUAUAUAGAUCACAAGAAAGGUUAAAACAAACAACGGAAAGGAAAUAUGGUUAUCAAAUUACACAGAACAAAGACAAGGAAAAUGUGUUUAAUCACAUAUUUCAGGGGUAUAACCUUCCCAAGGACAAGCAGAGCAUGAUAUCCAUGACAGGAUAUAAUGUAGAAAACUCUCUUUAGGUAGGGGGAGAAAAAUUUCAUGACAUUACCCAUACCACGGUGUUUGGAUAAUUGAUAAAGAGAAUUUAGCAUUGUGCUUCGAAUGUUCUUGGUGAUGAAUGGAGUACCACAGACAUGCUUCAGGUAGCAAUGAUAUGGUGUUUCAAUCAAGGGCCAGACUUUGGAUAUAGGAAGGUUCCAUCAGGAACAUCUUAUUACAAUGUCCUUAUGGAAGAAUGGCUAACCUUACUGAAAGGAGGGAGUAUUAUAACAAUGGGUUCCCCAGCCAGGUGUGCUAGGCAUGACAUCAUCUUACCAUGUCCUGUAAAGACCAAUGUUAUAACUCUUGGAAAUAUGUCCCAAUCACCAUAUCUGACCGAGAUUUAGAUCCGAUUGGUGCCAGGAUGCCUCGGACUCAGGAUGCCUGAGAAGAAAGGUGCAACACAAAUUGUCGAGAUGACAUUGUAAGAUUCUCGGGAAUUAUAAUAUGGAAUCGAGUUCCGAAACAAGAGUUCGUCAUUAAACCAAGGAGAGGAAGAGGAGGUGGCUGAUGGACUCGGCGAAAAUUCAUCCAGAUUUGCAAAUAGGUGGAUUUCCACAAUUAUGGAGAUAACAUUUGUCAGAUGAAAUGAUAUAAGGGGAUAUGCUCAAGGAAAACAUACCCAAUUUAAACAUUGGUUGAAAGGUGCACCCGAAAUAUGGGUUGGGUUGCACGACCAAUGUCAGAAUGGUGAUUUAAUAAUCAAUAGUCUAAGAAUGAACAGGCGACCAUUAACUUCAAAGCAACAGGGUUGCUAGAAGUGCAGGAUCCAAACAGCACCGUUCACUUGUUGGUACCCCGGUUGGAAUCCACACGAGGACCAUGAAAGAAUGGUGAUGGUGAGAAGUAUCACUAUACCAAGAAUUCUUAAGAGGUGGUGAAAUUCCCACGACAUUCUUGACAUAAAAGGCGGUAAUUCUCCAAGGUAAAGAAGAACAAUGCUGGGUAGCAAGGAACUCAAGGUAUAACACAAAACACUAACAAGUUUGUGUUGAACGGAAGGCAAUAAAGUGGUCAAAGAUGACACAAUUCAUCGGGGCAAGGAUGGUAUUUCUCAUCAUGAACUCAAUUGAUAUCCUGGAAGAGCUCAUAAGGUUGAUGAUAAUCACGACACAUUUGUCGAUAGAUUUCAUGAAGAUGUAAUCAAUCAGCGACGACAUCAAGUCAAAGGAAUGAUGAAGCAAAAGGUUAUUGAAACCAUGGGUACGACACAAACUCGAAAUCAAGUUUGUUGGUCAAGGAGAAAUGGUAUGACAAGGAAGAUCGACGUAAGCUUAGCUCAUCGUCGAAACUGGUGCUCCCGGAAUAAGGACCAGGUAGCACAGUUAAAAUCUGCACGACAAGGAUAUAGCCAAACAGGCUAGGAAUGGCGUGAUCGGUUACAAACUCGUACUUAAAGAAGAUUAUCAAGUGUCGUUGAACCGUAAUGCAGACUCGGUUCAGUUAUCGAUGUCUUUGAGUGUUUAAUAACUCCGAGCCCUAAUCGGUGAGUAUGUAGUACUUGAUGAAGAACUCAUAAGAAAUUAUGCAGUUCCAAGAUAAUCUCAAGAUACCAGGUUGUAAUACUCGACGACAGAUCAAAGUAGAGGUUGGACUGGGGUAUUGCUCUAUAGAAGACAAGUGCUUAAACUUGCAUAGGGAAUGGUAUUUAAAGGAGAACAUGGUCGGAACCACGAUUGCAAAAGGCCAGAUCCCAGAUAUAAGAUGAACUUAUACCAAAGGAAUAAUUAAUUUAAGAGAAGCUUUAAUGAUAAGGUCUACAUCGUGCCCAUGGGCAUGAACACAAAGUUCAAGGUCAACUCCCACUUCUCCAAUGGAUAAUAUUUCAUUCACUUCUCACUUUCGAAGAAGUUGUAGUGUUGAAAUUUUAUCUGGCAAAAUACCAGAAGUGUAUGACUCGUGAAAACUUUCGAGUUCACACAUACUAAGGAAGGCAUAGGUUCAACCCAUCGGGGCAUCUUAGAAUCAUAUUCUAGAAUCUUUAGAAAUAAUUAACUCAAGCUCGAAGGCAGAGCAUGGUUGAGAAAGCAGAGGAUACAAUUUACCAAAGGCAUUAUGUAUCAGAGGAAAAGCUCACAAGGUUAUUGAAUAUGAAGGGCGUUGUCAGAUAAAAUCCAACAAAGGAUCUGGUGGUCCACAAGGGAUCUGACGUGAGCAUCGGUACUCAACUAGAGGAAGAAGAAUGCAAGGAGAUCAAAUUAUAGAAACAACUGGCUAACUCAAUUGUCAAAUGCAAAGGAAUUAUGAUUUCCAAAUCAAGGGAUCAUUAGCAAUGCUCUGAUUAGGGAUGGAUAAGUUGAAUAGCCUUAGGGUACAAUCAACGACAAUUGGAUUGGUCGAGAACCAAUUCGAGUUAAAAGAAUGGCAGCUCAGCCGGAAAGGUAAUUUAUAAGGAUCAAUGAUGAUUGCGGGUAUUCACAAACAUAUUGAGUCAACAGACUCAAAAUGAUAAUGACAAGGAAUGUCAAUAUGACUACGGGACUUAUGGGAUUAAUCAUAAUGCAAGCAAGCAAGAAUUUCAAGAGCCAAAGGCCCCAAAGGAUUUUCGGAAGAUCGAAUAUUAUUUUGAAGACUUUUGUGAAACACAUGAACAACUGGGGAUGAGCGGAUACUCGACAAGUGCGAGGAUUUAUUUGAAGGGUAUUCAUGUGGUAAAGAACUGCUAGGCAGUAGGCACAAAGUAUUCUCGGAACAAUAGAGAAAACUUCGGGGUAUCUUGUAAUAACAAGAUUAACUGGGAAUAAAAGUAAGAACGACAGGCGUAAGUAUUUAUCCAUAGGGAUGUUUCAGUGGUAGGGAAUUACAAAAGCGACAAGCACAAGGUCUCGAGAGAAUAUCAGAGAGUAUCUUCAAAUUCUUCUGGUUCAUGGAGCAAUCACCUGUAGUGAGGGGUUCUCCGAGAGGAAGUAGUAACGAGAUCCUAAAGUUAGAUUUUAGUAAAAAUCGUUUAACCUGGAUAGAAAAGAGUUCAGAGUCCCAGAGUAAAAGAUCCUAGUACCACCCGAUGGCGACGUUGGCCCGUAAGGCACACAGCCAAGUUAGUAUAAGUUUUUGUAAUGUCUAGACUCGACUUCGGCCAAGGAGUGUGGAAGGGGGAUUCCUACAGGCAGUUGGCUCUGAUACCAACUUGUGACGCCCCCGAUUUAAUCGUACACUAAUCAUGCACGCAAAUGUGUACGAUCAAGAUCAGGGACUCACGGGAGGAUAUCACAACACAACUCUAAAACAUAAGUAAGUCAUACAAGCAUCAUAAUACAAGCCAGGGGCCUCGAGGGCUCGAAUACAAGUGCUCGAUCAUAGACGAGUCAGCGGAAGCAACAAUAUCUGAGAACAGACAUAAGUAAACAAGUAGCCAUAGAUGACUAACACAAACUAGGACACAAAUCGAAAGAGGCGCAGGCCUCCUGCCUGGGAUCCUCCUAACUACUCCUGGUCGUCGUCAGCGGCCUGCACGUAGUAGUAGGCACCUCCAGUGUAGUAGGAAUCAUCGUCGACGAUGGCGUCUGGCUCCUGGACUCCAGCAUCUGGUUGCGACAUCCAGAAAGAAAGGAAAGGGGGGAAAAGGGGGGAGAAAGCAACCGUGAGUACUCAUCCAAACUACUCGCAAGCAAGGAGCUACACUACAUAUGCAUGGGUAUAUGUGUAAAGGGCCAUAUCGGUGGACUGAACUGCAGAAUGCCAGAAAAAAGGGGGAUAGCUAAUCCUGUCGAAGACUACGCUUCUGGCAGCCUCCGUCUUGCAGCAUGUAGAAGAGAGUAGAUUGAAGUCCUCCAAGUAGCAUCUCCAAGUAGCAUCUGCAGUCGCAUCUCCAGUCGCAUCGCAUAGCAUAAUCCUACCCAGCAAUCCUCUCCUCAUAUCCCUGAGGGAGAGCGACCACCGGUUGUAUCUGGCACUUGGAAGGGUGUGUUUUAUUAAGUAUCCGGUUCUAGUUGUCAUAAGGUCAAGGUACAACUCCAAGUCGUCCUGUUACCGAAGAUCACGGCUAUUCGAAUAGAUUAACUUCCCUGCAGGGGUGCACCAACUUACCCAACACGCUUGAUCCCAUUUGGCCGGACACACUUUCCUGGGUCAUGCCCGGCCGCGGAAGAUCAACACGUCGCAGCCCCACCUAGGCACAACAGAGAGGCCAGCACGCCGGUCUAAACCUAAGCGCACAGGGGUCUGGGCCCAUCGCCCAUAGCACACCUGCACGUUGCGUACGCGGCCGAAAGCAGAACUAGCCCCCUUAAUACAAGAGCAGGCUUACGUUCCAAUCCGGCGCGCACCACUCAGUCGCUGGCGUCACGAAGGCUUCGGCUGAUACCACGACGCCGGGAUACCCAUAACUACUCCCACGUAGAUGGUUAGUGCGUAUAGGCUCGUAGCCAACUCAGAUCAAAUACCAAGAUCUCGUUAAGCGUGUUAAGUACCCGCGAACGCCGAACAGGGCCAGGCCCACCUCUCUCCUAGGCGGUCUCAACCUGCCCUGUCGCUCCGCCACAAAGAUCCACUCGCGGGUGCUCCACCAGCCGACCCGACUUUAGUCUCCACAUGUAUCAUGUAUAAGGUAUAUAGUAUAUACCCGUGAUCACCUCCCGAGUGAUCACGGCCCGAUAGUAUAGCACGGCUGGCGGACAAGAAUGUAGGGCCACAGAUGAAUAUACUAGCAUCCUAUACUAAGCAUAUAGGAUUGCAGGUAAAGGUAACAACAGUAGUAUCAAGGACAGGCUAUGCAUCAGGAUAGGUAUAACAGAAAGCAGUAACAUGCUACACUACUCUAAUGCAAGUAGUAUAGAGUAGAAUAGGCGAUAUCUGGUGAUCAAGGGGGGGGCUUGCCUGGUUGCUCUGGCAAGAGAGAGGGGUCGUCAACACCGUAGUCGUACUGGGUAGCAGCAGCGUCGGUCUCGAUGUCUAGCGAGAGAAGAGGGGGAAGAAACAAUAAAUAUAAUGCAAACAAAUGCAUGACGAUGCAUGACAUGACGAAGCGUGAUGUUAGGUGUACCCUAACGCGGUACGAGGUGGUACCGGUGAAGGGGGAAUCAUCCGGGAAAGUAUUCCCGGUGUUUCGCAUUUUCGGACAGAGGAGCCGGAGGGGGAAAGUUGCGAGUUCGAGUUGCGUAUCCGGAUUCGUCUCGUCGUUCUGAGCAACUUUCAUGUUGAAAAUAAUUUAAUCCGAGUUACGGAUUAAAAGAUAUGAUUUUCUAAAGAUUUUAUUAAUUUCUAGAAUCUAAUUAAUUAUUUAAUUUAAUUCAAAAUUUGGUUUUAUAACAUCAGCAUGAUAUCAUGCUGAUGUCAGCAGUCAACAGAGUUGACUGGUCAACCUGACCAGUGGGUCCCACUGGUCAGUGACACAUUUUAAUUAGACAUAUUAAUUAACCUAAUUAGUAUUAAUUAGGGGGUGGGCCCCACUGUCAUUGACUGAUUAACUAAAACAGAUUAACUAGUUUAAUUGGUAAUUAGGUUAAUCUAAUCAGAAUUAGUUAAGUUAAUUAAUUUAAUUAAUUAAUUAACUGAUUAAUUAAUAUUUUAUUAUUUUCUUUUAAUCUUUCUUUUUGAAACGUUCUGGGGCUGGGCCCCGUUUGGCAGUGGCCCAGAGGGGCGAUGCGGUUUACAGGCGCUAGCGGGCGCCGGGUCUCGGGCGUCGCCCGAGCGAGGGGGGAAGUGAGGCAAGGCCAGUGGCAAACGCCGGCGAGGAGCGUGGCGCAGGGAGCGGCCGGACAGGGAGGGGUAAGGCGAAGGCCAUGGCAGAGCUGGGCGGUCGUGGCGAGGCACCGGCCGUGGCCGCGAGCGGUGAAGGCGCGGGUCGCGGCAGAGGCAAGGCCACGGCGGGGCCGGAAAGCAGCGGGCGGGCGCUGGCUGCAUGGGGUGUGGGCGAGGCACAGUCGUGACCCUGGGCCAGCAUGCGGUAGGAGCCGCGGUUCGGGGCAAGUGGCGCGGGCGGAGCACGGCCACGGUGGCCUUGGGCGCAGGAAGGUGGUGUGGAGCGGCGAGCACGACGAGUGUGGCACAGCCGGGUGGCCGCGGACGCGCAGCGACGGGCGUGGCGAGAAAGGGCGAUGGUGGCGGACGGGUGUGGUGCGAGGAACGAGAUAGAGACGGGGGAAAGCGGGGAUCGAGGGCGCGCUCACCGGGCCCUGUAGGCGUGCAACAGCGUGCUCGGGGAGGGCUCGACGGUGGCAUGCGCCGGCAAUGCGGACGGCGUCCUCGGGCGCGAGUAGAUCCGUCAAGGGAGAAGGAGAGGGGAGUGCGAGAUGGCGGAGCCGUCAAGGGCGACGUCAGAGCCGGCGAGGUGGUCCCGGGCGGCGGCGAGCGUUGGGCGUCGAGGUCGGCGGGAUCGGGGCCGAUCCCGAUCCAGAUUGGUGGGGGAGAAGGGAUCGUGGGGGGGGGGAAGUGGGGUGCGGUUAGGGUUUCGGUCGUGCUAACCGGGGUGUUGUAGGCUGGGGCGCUGGGUGGGCCGGCCCAUUCGGACGGCUGGGGCCAGCUGGGCCACUUGGCCCAGCGGAACAGGGGGGUUCUGUUUUCCCCCCCUCUUUUUUUUGUUUGUUUGUUUUGUUUUACUUUUUUUUUAAUUUUAUUUCCUAAUUUGUUUUUAGUUUGGUAAAAUAUCCAAUUAGCACCUAACAUAGUAACAUUAAUUAUACCACUGCCACAACAACUUUGGCACCUAGCUAAAUAGCUUAGUAUUUUGUAAAAUAUAUUAGGAGUAUAACUAAUUGUUUUUGCUGUUGUUUUAAUCACCUUAGGGUAUUUAAUUAUUUUAUAAAGAUGUUGUUUCUCCACCAAUAAUAUCCAUGAUUUAUUUGUCACAUUAAGAACAUUUUAGUUUUGACUUUCGAUAAGUUUAAUUGUUUGACUUGACUUUAAAUUUGAAAUUGAACGAGAUUUGAAUCAUCGCAAGAUUAACAACAGUAAUCGUGGUGAUGUGGCAUCAUUAGCAGAGGUUUACUGUAGCGUAACUAUCCAGGCGUCACAACAACAAUGCCAGAAAUUCUUCUGUUACUCUUGUAGGAGUUGUUGGAUUUCCCCGAAGAUGAAGGUUGAUGUAGCACAACAAAAGAAAUUAUUUCACUCAGUUAAGAACCAAAGGUUUAUCGAACUAGUAAGAGACACUACGCUAACAACGUAAACAAUAUCUGCACACAAACACAACAAUUGCUUGCACGCAACAAACGCAAGGGGGUCGUCACUCCCCUUGUUCUUGACAGUUACAAGAUUAAAAGCAGAUAUAGUGAUAGGCAAAUUAGCAAAAUUAGUAAAGAGCAAAUAGUAGGAGCUUUUGUACUAAUGGAGAAUAGACCCGAGGGCCAUAGGUUCACUAGUAGCAUCUCUCUUGAAAGCAUGUAGUGGCACGGUAGACAAAUUAUUGUUGGACAAUUGAUAGAAUAGCGCAAACUAUAACUAUGAUCAUUCAUGGCAUAAUCUCACAUAGGCAUUACAUCUUUGAUAAGUAGACAAUUAGUCCAACUACAUCUAAUACUAUUACUCCACUCCAAGACCGCUAUCCAGCAUGCAUCUCCAAGUAUUAUUUCAUAAUAAAUAAAGUAACACAAUAAGAAAGAUGACAUAAUGUAGACAUGAAGAGAUCAAUCAAUAUGACCAAACCCCGUCGUUUUACCCUUUGUGGGAACAAUACAAUACGUGCCUUCGCCUCUCCUGUCAUAGGGAAAGCUCGCCGCAAGAUUGAACCUACUACUAUGCACCACUCCCUCUCAAAACCUACUCAUCUAAUUGGUCAGAAAAGUCUCAUAGAUUGGAAAUCAUACGUAGCUACAAAAAUACACAAGAGAAAUACUUCAAGAGAAUCAAUAUGAAUUAAUGAACAAUAUGAUCAUAAGUCCACAGUUUAUCGGAUCCCAACAAACAUGUCACAACAAUUACAUUGAAUAGACCUCGGAAGAGAUCGUUGUAUUGAAGGGGAGAGAGAGAGAGAGAGAGGAGCCAUCUAGCUACUAGUAUGGACCUGUAGGUACUGAAAGAACUACUCACAGAUUAUCAUGGAGGCAACAAGGUUGAUGAAGCUGGCCUCCCCAAUGAUUCCCCCCUCUAGGAACAGGGAUUUAGAUGGGAUCACAUCGGAAUAGAGGCUUGCAGUGGCGAUAAAAUUAUUUCGGGUCUCGCUUCGAGGGUUUCUGAAUAUGUCAAAAUUUAUAGGCCAUGAAUUAGGGAAAAUGAGCUACAAGGGGCCCACAAGCCAGGGUGGCACGCACUACACCCCAGGGCACGCUCUCUGCCUUGUGGGGUCCUCGUGGGUCUUCUCGUCCUCCCCCAAAGUUUGUAGGGUCUCUUUUUGUCUAGAAAAAAUUAUCAAAAAGUUUCGUUGUGUUUGGACUUCUAUAAGUAUGGAUUUUUAAAGAAAACCGAAAAGAUGGAAAAACAGAAGCUAGCAUUGGGCACUAAAUUAUUAUGUUAGCCUAGAAAAAUAAUAUAUGAUGACAUAGAAAGCAUAAAAAAUGAUAAUAUAAUAGCAUAUAACAAUUAAAAAUUAUAUUUAUAUUUGACACGUAUCAGCAGCCCGCCUAUGCGUUUGGGGUGGAUAUGGGGGGUCCGGGUGUAGAUGCACCAACUAGUCAUGUAUGUGAGCCAUACCCUUCUAUGCCAGCUCAUUAAUAAAUUUAUGUUUAGAUUAUACAUAAUUAGCUUUCGAGUUAUGUUUGUGUGUGUGCGUGACACAAGUGCAUCAUGUUAUGUAAUCUAAAUUAUUGUGAUGGAGAUCGUGUCAUUGAGGAUAUUUCGGUAAGAAUGUUUCUCAUUACUGAUAGCAUCCAUUUUAUAAUAACAAUGCUCAUGAUAAGGAAAACAAGAUCAUCAUCAAUACAUGAGCAAGUCUUAGAGGCAUGACUAGGGAUCACAUUGGUGUUUAUAUUUCCACGCAUGUAUUUGGGUUUUUCUAUGAAUCUCAUAUCUGAGAACUAAUAUACUUAUAGAACAAAAAUAUAAACUUGAUAAUGAACAUGGAAAUAUAAUAAUAAAAAUAAUUGCCUCUAGGACAUAAUUCCGACAAUUACAGGUUUCCUUGUUUAUCAAAAUAUAUUAGGAAGUAAGUAGAAGCUUCCUUUUUAUAGCAUUUGAAUUAAAUAGAUUUAACCAAACGAAGAAGUGUGUAAAUAUUGUAUUCGUCCUUGAGAACACGUGAUAAUUUACUACCAACUAUAAGGUAUGUAUGGUAUAUAAUUAUGAGUCAUCAAUGAUUGCUUGACAUAUUGGGGGAUGUAAAGAACCCACUAAUUUUUUUCUAGCUAUAAGUACCACGAAAAAGAAACAUCUCAAACAACACAUGUACCAAAGAAACCACCAGCUAGCUUGCUUCAAAUCUUAAGUAAUGGCGCUAACAAAAGUUGCUCUCUUCCUUGCCCUCAACCUUGGUCGUUGUGCAUGGUAACCCUCCAAUGGUUCCUGCACCACCUUUGGUGCCUACCCCACCUGUUGCACCGGCACCAUCGAUUGGUGGUUCCUGCCCAAUCAACCCACUAAAGAUAACUGUCUGCAGCAAUGUGUUGUUGCUACUCAAGCUCCGGAUCAACAUGCCGGAGACCGAGCAAUGUUGCCCACUGCUUAGUGGGUUGGCUGAUCUAGAUGCCGUUGUUUGUGUUUGCACUGCCAUCAAGGCCAACCUCCUCGGCAUCAUCACCGUCGACAUUCCCGUCGACCUGGCCCUCCUACUCAACCAUUGUAACAAGACAUAUCCCUCUACUUUCACCUGCUCGCCAUGAGCCAUGAUCAACUAUACCUCUCCAAAACAUACUCAUAAUUGCCAUGCAUGUGAGGCAUACCCAUCUAUGCCAACUCAUUAAUAAAUUUAUGUUUAGAUUAUAUAUUUAGAUUUCAAGUUAUGUUUGUGUGUUUGACAUAAGUGUAUUAUGCAUGUUAUGUACUCAAAAUUAUUGAUAUGGAGCUUGUCUCAUUGAAGAUAUUCCCUACAACAUAUGAGAUCAUUAUAAAUAAUUCAAAGCGACAUCGCAGUUGGUUGUUUGAACCAUCUAUCUAUAUACGACAUAUUUAUGAAUUUUUACAACCGGUUCUAUAGUCUAUGGAAACAUCUAUGACAUUUGGAUCUUACUAUGAACCAUAUGUUGGCAGUUAUUUAUCAUCGAAGGUUUAAGAGAUUUCUUUGUUCUCGGCUAGAUGUGUUGAUUAUGUUCAUGUGGGGUCCAACCUCUAUAAACUAGAUGACGCCCCGCACUUUGCUGCGGGAUUUUGUUGUCGCGAAGAUGAUAACAAUUGAAAUUAGUUAUAUGCCAAAUUUUAUUUACAUUCAGUGACUGUUGUAUUUGUUUUAUAACAUGCAUCACCGGCACGAUGAUUUAAACAAUUGAAAAGAAAAAUAAUUGGAAAGCCCAAGAGCUGGAAUAGUUCCUGGAUUCCCGCAUGAAUCAUCCUUCAUACUCUGCUUUUGAACAUAGUCAAAAUGGCCAUAUAAAAUGAAUAAUAUGUCAAUUGUGAUCCAAAUCACUCAAUAUAGUAACACUUUGUAGAAGGAUUAGUUCAGAAUAGUGACCCAUUUCAUUGUUGUGGUUUAUUAGUUGUGCAAACUACAAAAAGAUCUCGAGAAUCUUAGGCCCUGUUUGGAGUCACUCAGCUCCUAAAAAUACGCGGAGCUGCGGAGCAUCUGUUUUCCCAGCUCCAUGCUUUUUAACUUUAGCUCUUGGAGCGGAGUGGUGGAGUGACGGGGCGCCGAACAGGGCCUUAGUGGUCUUAAUCACAUCAUAUACGCCAUGGUUUUUUAUUUCCUUUUGAUUAGUACAAAAUCCACCACUGUUAUCACUGGACAACCUUACAACGACAUUCCUUGUGAAUCCACAUAUCGAUCUUGGCUUAUGCGUAUAGUCGAACCAACCAAACUGCAAAGUCAAAAUGGCCAAACGAAUCAAAUGUUACCUCGCUGGGGAGAAGGCAGCUUGCCCCAAUAAUCAGCAACAUAGUGGAAAUAAUAGAUUGAAAAGAUGAGCUCACUUGUGUGUCCUUGCUUGGCGGAAGGCGUUGGGGUAGAGGCGCCUGUGGAGGGUGAUGAGAAGAAGAGGCGGACUACUCCAACGCGCCGGCCUCUACGACGACGUGUAACGCGGACUCCGUGACACCUAUCAACAUGGCAGCGAGCGAUGCGUUGGAUUCGGGAGCCUUGGCGUCGUGCAGGGAUGAGGCAUGGUAGUAAUUAUUAUAGGGAGACUUUUACUUGAGUCAAUUAUUGAGAGGAGAGAAAUGGUUUAGACGUGGGACCUACUUGCUGAUAUGGACAGGGUACAUGUUGAAAAAAUUGAUAGUAAUGGGCAUCAACUUCUUAAGAAUGAGAUGUCAUGCCAUUUAUUUAUUUUUUCGUGAGAAAACUUUCAAUCUAUUCAUCAGUUGUCAAGGUAGUACAAAGAACACCAGAAGUAAAAAAUUUACAUCCAGUUCCGUAGACCACCUAGCGACGACUACAAGCACUGGAGCGAGCUGAAGGCGCACCACCGUCAUCGCCUCUCCCUCAUCGGAGCCGGGCAAAUAUUUUUGUAGUAGUUAGUUGGGAAGUCGUCGUGCGAAGACCCCAUAGGACCAGCACAGCAAAACAUAAACCGCGACCGAUGAAGAGGGUCCUAGAUUGGAAAGAUUCAACUUGCAGACAUAUAGACGAACGAAGACCGGAUCCAAGAAGAUCCACCGAAGACAAAUGCCGAUCGGAUCCCACGAGAUCCACCGGAGACACACCUCCACACGCUCUCCGAUGAUAUUAGAACGGAAAUGUUAACGCCCACACAUGUGGGCGUUGACCAUCUCGACCACAUGCUUCUAUCACCGUCCAAUACUAUAUGCACGAAUCUUAGCACAAUCUGGCUGAUUUUCUGUGCCACGUAGGACAAGGCGAGUGUGUGGUGUGUGACAUAGUUCGUCCACACAUUCGUUUUACCACACGGAGGGGUCGGUGUGUGGGCGUUUAGCAGUUCACCCACACACCAGUUUUCAGUCACGCACAAGGGCUGGUGUAUGGGCGUUUGCCAUCUCGUCCACACGUCCGCCUCCUCUCCCACACCCAAGCUGCCAGUUGCCAUGCGUUUUGCAGUGUACAUGGCAACUGCCUUAGUGUGAUUGCAAGCAGAUGGCAACUCUUUUUUUUUACCCGAACAUGUCAGUUGCCAUAUGUUUUGCAUGGGUUCAUGGCAAACUGCCCUAGCGUGCACGUAAGCAGAUGGCAACUCUUUCUUUUUACAUGGCAACUGCCCUAAUGUGCUUGUGAGCACAUGGCAACUCUCUCUUUUACCCGAACAUGUUUUUUUGCCAUGCCAUUUUUUCAGUGCUACAUGACAACUGCCUAGUCUCUACUCCUAAUGUCUCAGUUGGUAGGUCGCGUUCCGGGUUUUAUUUUCGUCCCACCUCACCCGGUCUUUUUUGGUACUUCUUUGGUACUUGCUCCCACCUCCCGCUCAGCCGAGACGGUUUAUUUUCGUACUCCCUCCCACCUCCCAGGUAGUUCCCUCCACGCAAAAAAAAAUCGAACCAACCAAUCUCUACUCCUAAUGGAGCAGUUGGUAGUCUUCGCCGGUCAAUUUUCGUCCCACCACUUUCAUCCGGUUUUUUUUCGUAGGUUAACUGUCGUAGAUUUUUUUCGUCGCCUCCCCCACUUCAUCGGUUUAUUUUCACUUCACCCUCUCACACAACGAAAAAAACUGAACGGAUCAGAACUUUCCGUACUGACGCAAAUUAUUUAGUAAUGUCUUUAUGUAAAAUAAUCAAUCACAAUCAAUCUCUAAAGAUCAAAUCUAAAUUAAUUAAUCUUCAUAACGUUUGUUUCCUUUCGAAUCACGUUCAUAACUUUCCUUCCUUGUUUGGGCAGAAACUAUUUGGUAGCAGAGAUUAGGAAGCUUCCUAUGAGUGUAGUAAUAGGAAGUAUUCUUUUUCUUGAUGAUUCGUUUCCAUGCAUGAUGAUAGUAAAUUAUGCCAACAUUCACCACUAUUUAUCAAUGUCAUCAAUCGUAUCCAUUUCUACCAGUUUUAAGGGAAUCUGCUCGCUAUGUUUUUUUUAAGGGGAUCCGCUCGCUAAGUCGUCGUCGCAUGUUAUUUUCACAAACAAUCUCUACUCCUAAUGGAGCAGUUGGUAGGUCGCGUUCCGGGUUUUAUUUUCGUCCCACCUCACCCGGUCUUUUUUGAUACUUCUUUGGUACUUCCUCCCACCUCCCACCCGUUUUAUUUCGCUGGUUUUUUUCGUCCCUCCCCCACCCCACCGGUUUAGUUUCGCGUCACCCUCUCACACAACGAAAAAAAUCUUAACGGAUCAUAACUUUCCAUGCUGGUGCAAGUUAUUUUUAGUAAUGUCUUUAUGUGAAACAAUCAAUCACGAUCAAUCUCCAAAUAUCAAAUCUAAAUUAAUUAACCUUACCUUAAAUUGCUCAAUCACAUUAAUUAGGAAACAAAAUAACCGAUUUUAAGAAAAUAUCUACUCUUAGUGGAGGGUAUUACAUACCAAACAUAGGUACGUCAUUAGCUCGCUUCCUUCCCUUCUCUUCCCUUCGUCCCUCAGUCCCAUGCUCGUGGCGCUGAAGUGGCAUCGACAAGCGAUGGCGGCGAGGACAACACGUGGCAACCCCUGAAGCACGAACACGACUGCACCUCGGGUCUGCCGUCUCCCAAGAUAUGGGUGAGUUCUCGUGAUGCCCACCCUAAACCCUCACGUCCUACAAAUUCCUCAACCUCUACCAUCUCGAUUUCAUCCAUGCUCUGAUCCAAAUGACGAUGCAGCUCCGGCCGAUUGACAAUGGAGGUUUGCCAUCCUUCCUCUCAGCACCCACUCCUGGAGGAACGACACGCCAUGCCGAUCGAACCCGGUCGAGAUCACUCACCAAGAUUGCUAUUCGGAAGUUUUUUGUCAAAAAGUGAAGAGUGGGACGGGAUCUGCACUUUUGUUAAUAUCUCUACUCCUAAUGUCUCAGUUGGUAGGUCGCGUUCCGGGUUUUAUUUUCGUCCCACCUCACCCGAUCUUUUUUGGUACUUCUUUGAUACUUGCUCCCACCUCCCGCUCAGUCGAGACGGUUUAUUUUCGUACUCCCUCCCACCUCCCAGGUAGUUCCCUCCACGCAAAAAAAAAUCGAACUAACCAAUCUCUACUCCUAAUGGAGCAGUUGGUAGUCUUCGCCGGUCAAUUUUCGUCCCACCACUUUCGUCCGGUUUUUUUUCGUAGGUUAACUGUCGUAGAUUUUUUCGUUGCCUCCCCCACUUCAUUGGUUUAUUUUCACUUCACCCUCUCACACAACGAAAAAAACUGAACGGAUCAGAACUUUCCAUACUGACGCAAAUUAUUUAGUAAUGUCUUUAUGUAAAAGAAUCAAUCACAAUCAAUCUCUAAAGAUCAAAUCUAAAUUAAUUAAUCUUCAUAACAUUUGUUUCCUUUCGAAUCACGUCCAUAACUUUCCUUCCUUGUUUGGGCAGAAACUAUUUGGUAGCAGAGAUUAGGAAGCUUCCUAUGAGUGUAGUAAUAGGAAGUAUUCUUUUUCUUGAUGAUUCGUUUCCAUGCAUGAUGAUAGUAAAUUAUGCCAACAUUCACCACUAUUUAUCAAUGUCAUCAAUCGUAUCCAUUUCUACCAGUUUUAAGGGAAUCUGCUCGCUAUGUCUUUUUUAAGGGGAUCCGCUCGCUAAGUCGUCGUCGCAUGUUAUUUUCACAAACAAUCUCUACUCCUAAUGGAGCAGUUGGUAGCCUCGUACGGUUUAUUUUUGUCCUCCUCCCACCUCCCCUGGUUUAUUUUCAUCCUCUCUCCCACCUCCCAAUUUCGUUGGUUUUUUCGUCGGUUUUUACUCGCCCCCUCCCACCUCCCAAUUUCGUCCGGUUUUUAUUCGUCCCACCUCCCACCACCCCCUCAUACUGGUUCUUUUUCUCUCCACUCUUUCCUUGCAAACCAAUAAUUUCCUAACAUACAAAAGAUCACGAAUCUAUCUUUCCUUACCCGAACCAAUCGCGCCCUACAUCAGUGCAUUUCUUUAUUAAGAAAACUAACAUGUAAAUCUUAACGCAUUGCAAACAAAUCCCGUUAUGGACCUAAUUAAUUUAUUAUGGAAUCUAUACGUGGUCGCGUUGGUUCUUUUUCUCUCCACUCUUUCCUUGCAAACCACUAAUUUCCUAACAUACAAAAGAUCACGAAUCUAUCUUUCCUUAUCCAAAUCAAUCGAUCCCUACAUCAGUGCAUUUCUUUAUUAAGAAAACUAACACGUAAAUCUUAACGCAUUGCAAACAAAUCCCGUUAUGGACCUAAUUAAUUUAUUAUGGAAUCUAUACGUGGUCGCAUUGGUUCUUUUUCUCUCCACUCUUUCCUUGCAAACCACUAAUUUCCUAACAUACAAAAGAUCACGAAUCUAUCUUUCCUUAUCCGAAUCAAUCGAUCCCUACAUCAGUGCAUUUCUUUAUUAAGAAACUAACACGUAAAUCUUAACGCAUUGUAAAGAAAUCCCGUUAUGGACCUAAUUAAUUUAUUAUGGAAUCUGUACGUGAUCGCAUCUCUCCCCUCGUGAAAAAAUCGCAUCCAUCUCCCGUUAAAAAGGAAAAGAGAACAUGAACGAUCAAUCCCACACCCUGCAUCUCAGUAGAAAAAAAUCGCCCCCGCCUCUGCUACUGCGCCUCGCCGUGUGCCUGGCUCGACCCAUGCCUCGCCUGCAUGGCUGGACGCCGCCGUCUCCACCGCCACGUACAAGAAAACGGCGCCUCGCCGUGUGCCUGGCUCGACCCAUGCCUCGCCUGCAUGGCUGGACGCCGCCGUCUCCACCGCCACGUACAAGAAAACGGUGGGCAGAACCAUCCAUUCAAAUCGCACACCCCCACCCUCCUCCGCAAUCCCUAGCCCCACAUCACCCUAUCGCUUUCUCGCCUCUCUUUCCCCUCGAUGUAGAUGGUGCCGAGCGGCGGCCUCGAGCACCAACAGUGCCGCCCUCUCUAUCUUCGCUGCGUCGAGAGAUGGGCUGAGGCUAUCGUCGGUUCGCCGCCCACGAUUGGGCCGCCUCUGGUUGUCGCGCACCACCGGCUCCACCUAACUUGCCCGACCCUCUCCGCUUUCGACCUUCCGGUGACCACAUCCCUCCGCGCCUCCAUCCAUCAUCCACAAGGCCACUCCCUGCACCCACCCUCCUAAAUUCUACAUACCGGCGGACAAUCACCGAAGAUCCAAGUUGGCCCGAUAUCAAUUUUCUUACAUGCUUUCUUUAUCAGUUGGUGAUGGGAAUGGGUUCCAAUUUCUCUCUCUGACUGUGGAUUCGCAGGCAAGAAGCGCUUCUACAUGCAUCCUCCUGUCGGUCCCUAAAGUACCAAGGUAAAUGGUUGAUGUUGCGUUUGUCUAGGAUGAUAUAUGUUGGCUCUGUUCCGGUUCAUCCGAGCAGUUUAGUGACUAAUUUACUGAUAAUUUAAUUAUAUUAAUUAAAUGAGUCGGGUGUAUCGUCGUGCAUUUAUCUUGCCAGUAAUGUUAUGUGAUGCUCUGAUGCACUUUGGGAAUUGGUUAUCUUGUCUUCAGUGCAGAACAUUUGUUUAUUAAUGCAUGAGAAGAAUCCUUGUUACUACCUUGAACCUGUUUUAUAAUUCAUAUUGUUAUGCACUAGCGCGUGUGCGUGUGAAAUAGAUGGAUUAUGGUUCCGUACCCAAUAAGAUGGAUAUGUGUGUGUGUUAGAGAGAGAGAGAGGGAGAGGGGGAGAGAGAGUGAGGAGGAGGGAGGGAGAGAGUGUGUGUGAGAAUUUGAUGGUAAAAAGGUCGUCAAUGUCACUUGAUAUGUAUGAGAAUAUUAAAUGUAAUAUUAACAUAAUUGAUAUUGAACUCUUAAAGUUAAUGUGGCCCUGUUGCAACGCACGGGUGUUCUUCUAGUGUUAGUAGGUGACAACUCCUAAAGUUUUGCAAUCAUGGCAACUGCAGUAGACCAGACCACACAUGGCAACAGCUGUAGUUGUCCAAAAAAUGGCAAUCUGGAACUUUGAUCUGAGAUGGCAACUGCCUAGUGUUAGUAGGUGGCAACUCCUAAAGUUUUGAAAUCAUGGCAACUGCAGUAGACUAUACCACACAUGGCAACAGAUGUAGUUGUCCAAAAAAUGGCAAUCUGGGACUUUGACCUGAGAUGGCAACUGCAGUUGAGCAGACAUGGCAACUGUAGUUCUCCGACGUGGCAACCGUAGUUCAGCGACAUGGCAACUGCACUUAAACGAACGUAGACGAGGGUCCGGCCCAUGGCAACUGCGUGCGCGCGGUAAAGUGUCACGUGGGGCAUGCGGGACCACGAGGUACGAGGCCUGACGUAUCGGGCAUGCGGGCGUUAUCUAUUUCGUCCACACACGCGCGUAUAAGAGGGACCGGGAGGAGGGAAAAAAAGGCGUGUGGGCGCUAGUUGUUUUGCCCACACACAAGCGUGUGGGCCGGUCCUCUUAAGCACCACACAGAACAUGUGGGCAGAUCCCUUAACGCCCACACGUGUGGCAGUUAUCGAGACCCUAUUAGAAACAUCGCCGGGACUGGGGCUAGGCGGGGAGGACCUUAUUCCAUCUUCAAGAAGCCGCCUCCGCCUCGUCUUCCUGAUUUUACUAUAUUUAUUUUGAUUUUACUGUUUAUGACGGGGAUAGAUGAGCUCAGAAGCCUAAUCGGCCCUCUCACUAAUAUGCUCCCUCUGUAAAUAAAUAUAUUGUUUACAUAGGGAGUAUAUACUAGCAUCGUCUUAAUGACCCCAUAUGGGUAUACGUACAUGGGACCUCACGUUCUCAACUAGAGGAAUUUUUGCGGAUUUUGGCGAGGCUAAAAAUAAUAAUAAUCCAUAGGCAGUCUUCAAAGAAACUUCCUAUGCAUAGCUACCGUUUCCGGACUUUAGGAGGAUUCGUGAUCCGGUGGUCAACCCAAGAAAUCACAGGAUAACAUUUGCUAGGAGGACACAUGGACCUCGCUAUCUAGCAGCUGUAGCAUUGAAGCCUGGAACCCAUAAAUAGCACAAGCGUACUGAUCAGCACGCAGAUCCAAACAAGACAUAGAGAUACAGAGCAGAGCAGAGCUGAUAGACAGCCGGACAGCGAGAGAGAGGGAGGGAGGCUGGGAGGGUGUGAGCGGAAGGCGGCGUGCGCAUGGCAGGAGGAGAGCAUGGAGCCAACGGCCUGCAAGAGCACGACCACGCCGGAGCUCUGGAGGAAGGAAGAGGAGGAGGAGCGAAUCAACCAGCAGGGUGCGAGGAUGCAGAGCAAGCUCUGAGCAGCACCGGCAACCAGCCCAUGAUCUCCGUCCAGUUCGUGCAGAAGGUGUGUAUGUUUGCAUACGCAACUACUACUAGAUUAUCCUUCAUCCACGAACUAUUAUUCUUGUUUAGUGUCUGAGAAUCCUUACGUGAUUCGGCCAUGCAUGAUUAUCCAUCCAGCACAAAGUAGUUGCACUUGUUCACACCUGCCCGUGGAGGCCGUAGUUCAGGUAGGAGAGAAACCGGGCGGAGCUCAAACACCAGAAGAGUCAAACAAGUGGACGAAGAUGACGACUUUCGUCUGCAAGGUACACGUGAUGACUGAUGACUGAUGAGCCGGUAACAUUCCAAACGCAACAAUAUUAUAUUGUUUCGGCCAGUGGAAAAUCCCAAAUGAGUAUUUCUUUGCCUUUGAAAAUGUGGCCUACUGGGUCAUAACACCACCGGCAGUAGCUAUCCUAUCAUUACGAGUCUCUGGGCAACUUGGACAAGCAAGCAAGCAAUUGACCUGACCGCGACAUUCUUGGACCAUGGGCGCAGGUCCUCGCCGAGAUCCUGGGGACCUACCUGCUCAUCUUCGCCGGCUGCGCGGCGGUGGCCGUGAACCAGAGGACAGCCGGCACGGUGACGUUCCCGGGCGUCUGCAUCACCUGGGGCCUGGCGGUCAUGGUGAUGGUCUACUCCGUCGGCCACAUCUCCGGGGCGCACCUCAACCCCGCCGUCACGCUCGCCUUCGCCACCUGCGGCCGCUUCCCGUGGAGGCAGGUCCCGGCCUACGCGGCGGCGCAGGUGGUCGGGUCGACGUUGGCGAGCCUCACGCUGCGGCUGCUGUUCGGGGGCGAGCCGGAGCACUUCUUCGGGACCGUGCCGUCCGGGUCGGACGUCCAGUCGCUGGUGCUGGAGUUCAUCAUCACCUUCUACCUCAUGUUCGUCAUCUCCGGAGUCGCCACCGACAACAGAGCCGUAAGUAAUUAAACCGGAGGAGUGCUGUGCGAUCACAAUCCUUGUCUUGGCCAUUAAUUUAGUUUUCUACACUUAGCUAAUUUUUGAAAAAGACCGGUUAUAACGCACCCGCACACACGCACACAUUCACACCACCACACACCUCGGUCUACUGAAGAUUGUGUCAAAAUUACGGAGCUUAAAGAUUGACGAAGUCGCUACAGACGCAUCGCUGUCUACUUCACUAAUUGUUUCUGACCGUUUUCUCCUUCUCUUGCAGAUUGGUGAGCUCGCUGGUCUGGCCGUUGGAGCUACUGUGCUACUAAACGUGCUCUUUGCCGGGUAUUCCACGAUAACCGCUACAUUAACUGUGUUUUACUCGCCAUUUUGGACUUUGGUUGUCAAAAGUCAUCUUUUGAUUGAGACACGUUGACGGGUCCAUUUCUUAGACAUAUGAUGUUUUUAGCCUCUGGUUAUCUCUUAGUGUGAAACAAUCAACCAAUUUACCCCAAAAGAAAACUAUUUGCACAAGAAACUUACGAUUUGUUACCCUAACAAAACCCAUUUCGAAAACUCCACAAAGCAGCAUGGCGGCCCAAUGUCAUGUCCAUGCGGCGGAGAACUCACAUGUCAUGUCAAACAACACUGAAACUAUUUGGAAUUGCAAUGCGGAAGAAAAAUUAGAUAAUUGCUGCAUGGUAGGUUAGCUUGUAUUGUACAUGGUGUGCUAAAAUUUUAAUGAGUUUUGUACACAAUCAGUGUGAUUUACAUAUAAUUUUACUGUUUAAUGUGGUUGUGUACAAAAAACUGGAUUUUAUUAGGUGAAACUAUUCGAAAUUGCAAUGAAGUUCCAUUAGAUGACCAUAAAUUAAAAUCUGGAAUUAGAAAACCAUGGAGUAUACAAUCUGAAUUAUUAUCCAUGAAUUUUGGGAACAAGUAAGAUUAAUUCGAAAACAAUGGGGUAUGUGUCUUUUAUUUAAGAGGAUUCCUAUGAUUAUUUUUAAAUAUUUGUGUGGCCUGGGAUCCUUGUGCUGACUGGGUCAGCUACCACAUUAAAACCAUUAAGCUACGCGUGAAGGGCGGUCAACCAGUUAUGCCACGUGACGCAAGCUGGUUGGCCGCGGUGAGAAAUCUUUAAAAAAAGAUAAAGGUGUGGAUUAUUUUUUAAAUGUAUUUUUUAGAUGAAGGCGAGGACCUCUAGUAUUUUUUAAAUGGCGGGUUAUGCAAAGUGGCACUCGCUGGUAGGCUGCGGUGGUAUUUUUUUUUCUUUUUUACUUUUUUUUAGGUGAAGGUGAGGAUUUUUCCGAGAUGUUUCUUUUAUACGGAGACGAGAACUCUGUGUUUUUGUUUUGAAAACAUGCGCACAUCUUCCUCUCAAACGGCGUCACAGGUGGCGCCCCAACCACUAGUGACCUAGUAAGUGGGGGUACCAUGUUGAUUUAGUUUUUCUUAGAAAAACUAGCAUACGUGGGAACACUUGCCUAGCCAGGAGUUACCGAUGCCUCAGGUCAAUUGCGAAUUACAGUAGUAAAAAAAUUGCCUUCACAAAAAGACAAAUUUCAGUGCUUUUAAAUAGCAUUCCACGCCACUUUUUUUGUCCUUUUGCACAGGCGAAGAAAAAGUUGUUUUUACACGAAACUUUGUGCGUGCAUAUAGAAUGUGAAGAUGCGUGCAUGAGUUUUUUUCAGAAUUUCUUGGCAUUUAGAAAUAAGUUUUCUAAAGUGGGUUCAUGUAUCCAUGGGUUCAUCUAUGCACUUUUCUUCUUGCCACGUACGCCCCAGGCCAUGGCCUUAGAGCUUUCGUCUGACUAUGGACCUGCUUCGGAAUGAAACUGAAGUACAUGGUAAAACGAGUUUUUUCUCUAAAAUCAGCUAAGCUCUAACACUCGAUAGUGGGUAAAAGUCGGUUUUUAUGAUAUAAAUAUUUAAAAAUAGUGAUAAGGAAGUAGUUUUCAUGAUAAGUCUAGUAAUAAUAUAAACAUGUGGAGAAAACAACCUAGGCAUUAUUUAGUGUAUAGAAGCGUUUGAAAUUUUCUAAUGUCUUAUUGCACUCUACCACUAUGUUUCGCGAGAAGAACUAACUAUAUUAAAAUAUGUCAGACUGAUUUUUGUGGUUUUAUUAUAUUGGAGAAAAUAGUAAUUUUGUGUACACGGACUGUGAUGUGCAGGCCCAUAUCAGGAGCAUCCAUGAACCCUGCAAGAACCAUCGGUCCGGCGAUGGUCGCCGGACGCUACACCGGCAUCUGGGUGUAUAUCGUCGGCCCUGUUAGUGGCGCAGUUGCCGGUGCGUGGGCUUACAACCUCAUCCGGUUUACCAACAAGCCACUGCGAGAGAUCACCAGGACUGGGUCCUUCUUGCGAAGUGCAAGGAUGAGCUAGCUGCUUUCACAGUGUUGUUUGCUUGUAGAUAGUGAAUGUCAAUGACAUGUUUUUAAUUUGCAAUUCUCCAAUCGCACUGUAAAUUUAUUCUCCAAUCUCCCUAGCCUUUCCCCUCUCGGGUGUCCGCAAGUGCGGGACAGGGAGACCCCGGGCGGUGUCACUAGGCGGCGGCGGUCCAGCGCGGCGGCGGGGGUUCCUGGCGCGAGCGGGGGCGGGUUUCUAGACGGCGGUGUCGCCAUUGGCGGCGGGGCGACACGGCGGCGCCCGCUUGGCCCAGAUUUGGGCCCUUCGGGCCCCAUCUGGGCCUGGGCGGGCCGGCAGUGGGGUGAGUCUGCUUCGUGGCUUUCGCGAGGCGGGGGAGAGGCAAUGAGGGCAGGGUGCUGGCGGCGCCAUCGCCGGCUUGCUGCAGCGUGGCGACGGGGCUGAGCGGGCCCGUUUCGGGCCUGGCCGGGUCAGGGGUGGCCUGGCAUGCCCUGCUGCCACGUCCGUACGGCUACCGCGACGGUGCCGGAGGUUCUGGCCUCCCGCACGACGACAGUGGAGGUGGUUCCCUCCCGUUCGGCUUCGGUGCUGCUUCUCCUUCCGCAGGGCGCUUCUCUCUGGUCCUCUUGGCCUCGUGUUGGUGUUCGCAUUGAGGCGGUGUGGGUGGCGGCGCAACCGCAUUGGCGCAUGGUGGUGGGCGGCGGUCUGGCUGGUCGGCUCCGGUCCGUUGGGCGGUGGGGUUGGAGUGUGGGAGAAAUCCUUGCCAGUUCUUCGACUUCAAUGCGGUGACACCUGCGGGUGCCACCAUUCCUUCCUGAAGGGUGUCGGUGAUUAGGGAUGAAAACGGAGCAGAAACGGACAGAACUGAGUGCUAUCAUAUUUGUUUUCACAUUUCUUUGCAGAAGCGGAAACUAAUACAGAAACCCCGAAAAUGAAUACGGAAACAGAUACUACCGGAAACGGACACGGAGCGAAUACAAAGCGGAUACGGAAACAGAAAUAGGCAUUGUUCGGAACUUAAAAACCCCUUGAAUCAUAGAGAAAUACACACAAAGACAAACAAAUUUAAUGAGUUGUUAACAUGGCUACAAAAUAAUAUCAUUAUGUUAGCAACUUAGCGUAGUAUUGUAGUAGUAUCGGACAAUUGCGUAUAGGGUCAAGCUGAGUACAUGUGUGGUAGUAGGAGUUGGGCCUUAGAUCCAUUCUACUAAUUGUGUCAUUGUGUUCUCUUUGGUAGUUGGGCUACAAAAUAGCUAUAGGUCUAUAGUAAAAACAGAAAUUCCAUAUUCACGGAAACGGAAAGUUCCAUUUCCAUGCAUGUUCCAUCGGAAAACACCAUUCCGUUUUUGUUUCCGUUUCCGCAUAAAAAAUUCCAUUUCCACUUCAGUUUUGCGAAUUUCCGUUUCCGUUUUCAUAUUUUCUCUCCAUUUCCAUUUUUCCUCCGGAAAAACGAAAAGUUUCCACUCCAUUUUCAUCCCUAUCGGUGAUAUCCAUCCCCCACCUCCCUCCGCGUGCCGGGGGAAACCCUAGGACAAGUCCGGGCAGCAGCGUCGUCGGCGUCGCAUUCCUUCUUGGAGGUGUUGCUUGGUAUGUGGCGGUUCGGAGCCUCGGGUUGUGGUGGUUUGUUUCUGGAGGGUGUAGCGGUGGCGGGUCAUCCGCGCUUUGUCGAGCUGCCGUUGUUGGCAUUUAUUUCUUCUUCUUUUUCUUUGGGCUUGAUGUGUUGUUCACCCCGGUGUUCCUUGUAUCAGUGGUGGUUGCUUUGGAAUACAAAGUGGGGGGAAUUCCUUUUUCGGUAUUACAUUAUUUCACAGUUUUCUCCUGGUAAUAUAAGUCUCUACUUUUAGUUGAAUUCAACAACAUGUGGUUAUGCUUCUGUAGGUUCGUAGUUGCUGAGUGUGAGAGGGUCUGUAUCUCCCCUAGUUAUGUUAGUACCUAGGGUGUAGGCUGGUUGUAUGUCUUGGGGGUGUAUGGAAGAAGGUGUUUCUUACUAGUAGAGGACUAUUUUCUUAAAUGAAAACGGGGGGCUGUAGGUUCCUUUAAUAAAAAAACAACUAACCAUGCCCCGUCUUCCUAAUAACCAACAAGUAUAAGGGAUCUAUCAUAGCUUUUUUGAUAAGAGAGUUCAACCCAGUGAGGAGCAGAAGGAAUUGGUUGACGGAAACUAGCAAGAAUUCACUACAAAAGAUGCAAAGAUUGUCUGAUGGUUUGUUUGAAAGCAAGUAAUCGCAAGAAAGUAAAUAGUAAGAAAAAUGCAACGGUGCAGCAAGUGGCCCAAUCCUUAAUUAUACUAAGGACAAACCAACUGUUUUACUUACAGGGAUCAAGGCAUUCUCAAGGACACAAGGUUCUUGAGCAUUCCUGAAUUUAUUUUUGAUGAAAUCUUCCGGUGUUAUUACCUGUAUAACAUCGGCUUUCGCCUCGAGGGGGUUAUUGGUAAUAUAAUGAUUAAAUCUUUGACCAUUUACCACUCUUGGUUUGGUCCCCUCGGAUGUUGUUGAUCUUGAUAACUUCAAACGGAAAGAAGCUUACCUGCAAAAUAUCUAAAAUGAGACUUGUACAAGAGAACUUUAGCACCAAUCUUAAAUUCAUGUUUUUGAAUUCCCCUACCAUGAUACAUUCUAAUUUUUAAAACAUAUUAGCAUUCUCAUAGGCUUCCUUCCUCCAUUCAUCUAAAGUGCUCAUGCCAAGCAAUCUAUUUUCAUCAGCAAGUUUAAAAUCAUAAUUGAGUUGCUUAACAACCCAAUAAGCUUUAUGUUCUAACUCAAGAGGUAAAUGUCAAGCUUUACCAUAAACCAUUUUAUAUGGUGACAUGCCCAUAUGAUUCUUAUAAGCAGUUCUAUAAGCCUAAAGUGCAUCAUCAAGUUUGUUACAUCAAUCCUUCAUCGACCUAUUGACAGUCUUUUGCAAAAUUAAUUUGAUAUAUCUAUCAGAUGAUUCAAUCUUUCCACUAGACUGGGGAUGAUAUGGUGAUGCUACUCUAUGGUUUACUUGUACUUAGCAAGACCUUUUGUAACAGCACCAUGAAUAAAAUAUGAACCACAAUCAGUCAUAAGAUAUCUAGGACUUCCAAACAUCGAAAACAUAACCUCUUUAAGCAUUUUAAUAAAAGUUUAUGAUCAAAAAAUUUAGUUGAAAUGUCUUCUACCCACUUACGGACAUAAUCAACAACAACUAGAAUAUGAGUGUAACCAUGUAAUGUUGAAAAAUGUCCCAUAUAAUUAAAGCCCAAGACAUCAAAAUGUUCAAUAGCAAGAAAGUAGUUCAUUGGCAUUUCCUGAUGUCUACUAAUAUUACCAAUUCUUUGACAUGUAUCACAAGAGAGAAUACACUUAUGAGCAUUUAAAAAAAAAGUAGAACAAUAAAAACUAGAUUGUAAGACCUUGUAUGCAUUUCUAUCUCCAGCCUGGUGCCUUCCAUAGGACUAGAGUGACACUUCCUUAGUAUCUCUUCCUGCUCAUGUUCAGGUAUACAAUGCUUAACAAUAUCAUCUACUCAUUUUCUAUAUAGAUGUGGAACAUCCCAAAAAAUAAUGUCUCCAAUAAAAAAAAUCUCUUUUGUUGAUAAGUAAACUUAGUUGGCAUAUACUUAACAACAAUAAAAUUUUCAUAAUCAACAAACAAUAAAAAGAAUCUAUGAAAAAGUGAAAACUAUCAGGUUGUGAUGAAGUGGCACACAUGCAGUACACCACUUAUUAUCAGCACCAGAGAAGGUGGAAUUGACCUUGCAAGGGGUACCCCUUAAUUAAUGAUUUUACGCUUCUAGUAGCGGCAUUUGAAUGAGAGAGGCGAUUUGGUGCCCGUGCCUCUUUCUCUCCCCCGCAAAAGAACACUACCGCCGGUGCGUGUAAAGCUGAGCAGGUCGUGGCGGCGGCGCUUCCUGACCUUUUUGCGUCUGCAAAAAUAAUGGAGGAUGCGGGCAUGGAGUUCCUUCAGGCCGCAGUCGACAGGUUAGUGCUUACAGAUCUGGAAAUUUGGGGAUUUUUCAUUUAAUUGCAGCCAAAUUCAUAAGCAGAACGCUAACAACGGGACAUGGUGGGCGGCCAUUGCUAUGAGAUUCCAGGUUUCCGCUGCGCGAGGAGUUCGCCGACAGCCUUGAGCAUCCAGAUCCGGUGCCUCUGGUGUUGUUGCAGUCAUGCGAGGGCACCCGAGCCGAGUAUGUGAGCUCAAAUGCUGGUUUUGAUUUUGGUCAACGGGUUGGUGGCGAUGACCAUGUCCAUGGACAAAGUUAGAGACCAGCGAGAGCUGAUGCAUUUCCGACUAAGUCGGUAGAGUCUACUGACAGAGUUAAUCCAGAAGCCCCUGGAUGGACAAAAAGGUCUGAACCUAACGCCUCCCUUCCUACCUAACUGUACCUUGCUACAUUCUAAUGUACUGAUUUAGUGCACUAUGUAAUUUGCUACGUGGAAAAUGUCCGUGCUAGCUGUUAGAAUUAGUAAAUUGAGCAACCGCCUUUUAGUGUGAACUGCUAGUGCUAUCAGAAGGGCAGUCAGUACACUUUUGAUAUUUGCUUUAUUUGUGCACAGCAUACUGAAUACAUAUGUGAUGGGGAUUUUAAGAUUAAGGCUGGGUAGUGCACCUCCAGACCGCACACCGUGUCUGUCCAGGAUGAGUGCUUUGGAGUAGUCGAUCAGGAAGUAUGCAGAAGAACCCACGAAAGGUGUUGUAUGGCCAACACUUGGGUUGACUUUCGAUUCACUUGGUGAGGCAUACGACUUCUACAAUUUGUAUUCUUGGGAGAUCCGAUUCAGUACUAGAUAUGGUAAGAGCAGACUCAAUGCCGAGAGAUCUAAAUGCAUGGAGGAGAUAGUCUGUGGUUGCUCGGUGAGUGCCGACCUCUGGUAAACUGACUAGAUAUUCAGGGAGAAUGUUAUUGCUGAAUUUGUUGUCCAGUCCUUGUGUGGCGGUACUGAUCUUUGGUUUGAUGAUGCGCACGCAGGGGAAACCAGAGGUAGAAAAUAGUAGAUCAUGCAGGCGUGAGUGGCCGACGUUGAUUAGGUUGCUGCAAGCGUCAGACAACAGCUGGUAGAUCACUGAGAAGGUGCAGUGGCCAUCGCACAAACACAUCAACGUCUACCGCAAAGAGUUGAUAAAGCAGUUGUGGGAAAACAAUGUGAACCUUGGGAAGGUUUACUGUAUAAUUGGCAGUUUCUUCGGAUCAAUUGAGAGGGUGCCUUUCAAGAAGAGGACUCUUCGGAACAUUUGUGGAAAGAUAAGCCGUGAGCAAAAGGAUGACGUGAGGAAGACCCUAGAGGUGUUUGCUGACAUUCUUGCCGGUGACCCUGACUUUACCUACAGGGUGUUGGCUGGCAGUUCAAGCAAGGUGAAGAACCUAAUGUGGUCUAACGGUAGCAGCCGAAUGCAAUACAAGUUAUCUGGAGAUGUUGUCACAUUCGACAUGACAUACAGGACUAACCUAUACGAUAUGCCAUUUGGGCUAUUCGUGGGAGGUAACAAUCAUUUCCAAAGCAUUAUCCUUGCUGGUGUCUUGAUGCAUGAUGAGCAAAUAGAAAGCUUUAAAUGGGUUUUCGCUGAGUUUUUGCGUAUGAUGGGAGGCCCACCCCCUAAGACAAUCCUAACAGGUUUGUGGUGUUUUUCCAAAUGCUUGCUACAUAAUUAUGAAAUUAAUUUCUGAAAGCAACACAAAAUGUGCCCCACUUAUUUGACUGACUUUGUCAUUGCAUGUGUCUUUUAGGCAGUACAUGAGGUUGCAGUUUGACCGGGAGCAUGAAGAAAGCUACGAGGAGAAGAGAAUUAUGAUUAUAAGUCAGAAGCACUUCAGUAUUUCAUUUACACCCAUUACAGCUUCAACGCAUUACCCUUAUGUGCACAGCCGCCAGCUUUGUUAGAUGAUCCACAUAUAACUCUAACUUUCUGAUUUUUAUGCCAGGGGCUGUUAGGAGAUCUAAUUUGGCAAUAGAGAGGCAUGCAAGUAAUAUUUACACAAGGGCUGUGUUUGAAGAAUUUCGCCGUCUACUAAUUGAAGGCACAGCCUAUAAUGUCACUGAGGUAGAGUGGAUGAGGAGGUAUGUGACAACACACGAUAAUGCAGCAAAGAUAAAGAGCAGGGUUGUCUAUGAGCUCACCGUAAGCGAUGAUCAGACAGAGUAUACUUGCGAGUGUGGUCAGUUCGAGCACACUGGAAUGUUGUGCAGUCAUAUUCUGAGGGUUAUUUUUUUGGAAAUGGAGGCAUGCCCCCGGCCUCUGCAUCAUGACGAUGAGGGUAAAAUGCCAUUUGACUUUUUCUUAAAUUAUGAUUCCAUUUGAAAAUUAAUCAGUACAUGGUAAAUUUAUCAUAUUGGUGCUGGAACAGGUCAUGGAGAUUCCGGCAAAACACAUAGUGAAACGGUGGACCAAGGACGCGACGGACAGACUUAUGGGCCACCUUGUUCAGUACCAAAAGGACAAUUCGAUCAACUUGUUGUUCAGGUGCAGGCAUUCGAAGUUGUACUUCAGAGCUAUGAAUGUGGUUUGUAUGGGCGAUGCUAGCGCAGAAUCAUUUGAUUUCAUGUUUGCUGGCCUGGCUGAUUUGUUGCUGCGUGGCGCACCUAUUGCAGAGAAGAGGGAUGGUCUAGGAUUUAAGGACCGUAUGGCAGGUUUGGCUCCUAGUAGAUUGCCUGUAAACGGAGAAGUUGCAUUUGCUGGGGGCCAACCAAGGUAUUAGUGCAGCACAAUCUGCUAGCGUGAAUGAUCUCCAAGGCCUGGCAGCACCAGAUAAGCAGAGGAGUGUUGGAAGACUAACAAACAGUAGGGAAAAGGCAUUGUACGAGGUCUGAGUAAAGGCACAAGGUUCUGCAACAUUUUUCGCCGAGGGGCACAAGCGAACCACCUGUCCUGAGAGAGGGGAUCCCCCCCCCCCCCUGAGAAUAAGUUGUCGAAACUGAUUUUAAUUCAUGUAUUGUUGUUUGUCGAGGAUUUUCUAGUCUUUUUCAGUGAGCUCCGCACCACACUUGUUUCUCAUCUUCAGAGGCAAUCUAUGAUCUGUACAAUAGAUCGAGUAUUGUGUUGUAUUUCAUACCAAGUUGUGAACUGAUGUUUGAUUAUGAUGUUCUGAUUUUUGCCGUGUGAGACAAUUAAUCAGCCUCCUGUUGGGGUGAUCCCCUGGUGUCAUUCAUGAUAUCCCAGGUAUCAGCCUCUCUAAAAUUAGCUCAGUUCGGUUGAUGACUAUGUUUUAUCAUCCAUGUCUGGCUGGUGACAGCCUUGACCAUUGUUUGAACUUCAAACCAGAAAAGUAUAGUGAGCGUGUCUUCAGCCAUGGCACCACGCACUACUGCAUCGACAAGGAGCGGCACGAUGGGGAAGUCUAAAGUGGGUGAGAGUAGCCGUGGAGUGGAGAUUAAGGUACGCCUGAUAGUUCUGAAUAUCGAAAGGAUUCAGAUGCCUCCUCGUACAUGAAGUCGGCUUCGAGCCGUUGAGUCGUCUGGUUGAGUGUGAGGGUGUGGCUGGUAGAUGCAUUUAUGGCGGGCGCGUGUGGAUGCCGUUUGUGAGUCUGGCGGCGUGCACGGCUCACACAGGCUCAGAUAAAUGGAUGAGCCGUGGAAACUUUGCCUGUUCCGCGUGGGUAGUGCAACGCGCCGUCACAUUCAAUGCACUGCAGAGCAGGACCUUACAUGCACAUAUACGGUCGGGAAAUACCAGCGGAGGCACGGAUCCACAAGCAACCUAGGGGUGUGGAUUUCAGGAGCAGCUGAGCUCGAGCUCAGAAAAGGAUUUCCCCAUUUGAAUUUGCUUUUUGAGUGGAGCGGCUGAUGGGCGGGCACGUUGCUCCUUUGGGCCGGCUUCUAGCCUCGAGUGGACUCGGCCCGCUUCUUCUGUUUGGUGUGAGUAGUGAUGACAAUAGCCUAACAGCAAAAGCAGAACUUGCUUUCUUCGUCUCCCACUUUCUCUCUCUUGUGAAACAACCUUCUUGUCUAUGCUAAAAAAAGAAAGAAAAAAACAUGAUGUAUUUUUUUAAUUGUUUCUUCAUUGCUGGAGUAUUUAAAAACGAUAAAAUAAUAUAUUUUUAAUUAAUCAUGUCAAUCCACUCUGGUCUUAUUGUAACACUGGAACACUGUUCAGGUAAUGACAUAUUUUUUUCUCACAAAAAAUGUAUCCAUAUAUUUUUAUGACAUUUAUGUGAGAAAUACUUCAACAAUUUUAUCUGCACCAAGCACCAUUGAAUAUUCUUUUUCAAUGUACAUCUACAACUUUUGUACAAUUGGAACAAAUUUGACAUCUUUUUCUCCAGUGAGAAAAUUAUUAUGAAGUGAUGAACACUGUUUACAACACUUAUAACCAUUUUUUGGGACCAUGGAAACAACUUUCAAAUUAUUUUGUUGUAAUAGUUAACCAUGUUAUUUUGCAAAUAAGAGAACAUCUUUUAAAGAUAAACAUUAAAAAAAUAAGGUCACUGGAAGAUUUUUUUAUCUAAUGUUAUUUUUUUCAUUUUUACAGCGGGACAUAUUUACCCAACUACGAGAACAUUUUCAUUUUUAGUUUUUCACCAGCACGCCAAAGAAUUUUAGUGUUAUAACAUGUUUCCUUCUUUACCAAAUAUAAUAGGAAAUAAGUAAAUACUUCCUUUUUAUAUCAUUUGAAUUAAAUAGAUGUAACUAAACAAAGAAGUAUCUAAAUAUUGCAUUCGUCUUGGAAUAUUUCCUACUAAAUAUAAGGUAUGUAUGGUAUAGAAUUAUCAGUCAUAGAUGAUUGCUUGACAUAUUGGGGAAGCAAAUAACGUACUCAACUUUCUAGCUAUAAGAACCACCAAAUAGAAACAUCUCAAACAACACCUCUAGCAAAGAAACCACUUGCUAGCUUGCUCAAAGAUUAAGUAUGGCACUAACAAAGGUCGCCCUCUCCUUUGCCCUAAACCUUGUUCUCAUUGCCAUUGUGCAUGGUCACCCACCAGUUGUCCCUUCACCGCCUUUGGUGCCUACCCCAGUUGUUGCACCAACUCCACCGAAUGGUGCUUCCUGCCCAAUCAACCCACUGAAGAUAACUGUGUGCAGCAAUGUGUUGCUGCUACUCAAACUCCGGAUCAACGUGCCGGAGACUGAGCAAUGUUGCCCACUGCUUAGUGGGUUGGCUGAUCUUGAUGCCGCCAUCUGUGUCUGCACUGUCAUCAAGGCCAACCUCCUUGGACUCGUCACCGUUGACAUUCCCGUCGACCUUACCCUCCUACUAAACCAUUGUAACAAGACAUGUCCCUCUAGUUUCACCUGCUCUCGAUGAGCCAGGACCAAGUAUACCUCUGCAAAACAUACUCAUAAUUAUCAUGUAUGUGAGGCAUACCUAUCUAUGUCAUCUCAUUAAUAAAUUUUGUGUUUACAUUAUAUUUGUUUAGUUUUCAAGUUAUGUUGGUGUGUGUGUGACAUAAGUGUAUCAUGUUAUCUAAUCCAAAUUAUUGCGACGGAUUUUGUGUCAUUGAAGAUAUUCCCCUACAACAUAUAAGAUCAUUAUAAAUAAUUCAUAAAUUACAUCGUUGUCAAUUGUUU